rnacentral:lncRNA from 1 species
UUUUUUUCUGGUGCUAGAUAAUUUGGUGUGUGAUGUGGGUUCCAAAUUUUAGAUCAUUUGGACAUACGACUAGCUCUCAGAAAAAAGACAAAUUGGGAUCAGAAUAGUAUAUUUACUUACAAACACCAAUUUAUCUUUUUGCUGAGAGCUGCUCAGAUGUUCAAACGAUCUGAAAUUUGGGGCGCACCUCACACACAAAAUUAUCUACCACCAAAAAAAUUGGAAAUUUUUGAAUUUUUCUAGUUUUUGUUUUGAAUUUUUUGUUCAACGCAGGUGCAGAUGAGCCUGGGCAUCAAAUCGCUACACUCGAUUUUCUUGGGCUAUCGACUGUCUGCCUACUCUCUCCUCCAUCUAGAUAAGUUUCCUACGUGUAUACCUUAUAGACGGCUGACAAAGCGUUGUUGUACAUGCCCUAAAAGAAACUAACUGUCAGAUUUCGGGUUCCGCAAACCCUUGAGAGGUUCAAACUCUAGGGUGCCUGCGAAGAUCUCACUCUCCCCAGUCUGUCGACUCGCCAAUCUCACAGCCUAGCGCGUCGAGCUCAAAGGAAAUGGGACACGGCAAUUUACCCAGGUUCAGGCCACCUUGCGGUGUAAAAUCCUACUCCUGCUUUGUGGUGGAUUUGCCUCGAGGGGCUGAGGGUGAACUAGUACAGUGGAGAACAACCUCAGGAGGUGUGUUCUUGGGCUCAAGUGAGCUGGUGAGGGUGGAGUGGAUGUCGUUUCAUCUCCCUCCUUUGGUGGUGGCUAGGUCCUAUUUAUAGUGGCCUUGGUCCUCUUCCCGAAUGGAGGCAGAAAGGGAUCCCACAACGGCCAAUUUUGAAGGGAGGCAACAAGUACAUCUUAUCCUAACUAAAGAGGUCUUCACCUACAAAAGCCUCUGGUAGUGACGCUGCGGUGGGCUCGGCGAUGACCUCCAUCUUGCCGUCCUGGCGGUCUUGGUCUUGUUGCACGGGAAUGGAAACCUUUGGAUGCUUCCUCGGGACUCCGUGCCUGCUGCUUGCCUCCUUUGCACCAAAGAGAAAACUAGUACACUACACCCGCUGGCGCCCGCCGGCCUUAAUCGUCAUGGCUCACGUCACCCGAACCUCGCGAGGCGAGCCUUGCAUAGAAAUAUCCGCUCCUUGGGAGCCGGCCUGAGGAGGCUGAUCCCCUUGGAGGUCUUGGUGUCGUCCGCCUCACGAGGCUUGGCCCCUCGCGAGGGUCUUGGGUUGUCGAUGUCAAAACUGGGUCGUACCAGGCCGUCGGUGGAGCCACGUCGCGGGCCGCAGGCAGGCAAGUCUGGGUACCCCCGUAUCCAAAACGCAGACAGUAGCCCCCGGGCCCAAGGCGUGCUCGGACUUGGCUUCUAGGCGAAGCCAAAGGGCAAGUGCGGAGCGCUGUGGUCCCUAACCGCCUGCGGCCUUGGUCGAUGCAUGGCGAUUGAUGGGACGUGGGCAUCUCCGCUUCCCCAUGCUGCCUCAGCAACUGCCCGACUUGACGAGUCGUUGCUGCAUGCAGAGAAAACCAUCAUUGUGCGGGAUCGUGGAGGCCAGCGGUUGGCCUUCCUCUGGCUAUAAAUGAGGGGGGAGGGGCGGAGCCCCCCCUCGUUCAUCUCCAUCUCCGUCUUCUCACUGCCCGUUCCUUCUUCUUCUUCACCUCGUCGUAGCAUUCAUGGUGCCAGUCAGGAGAUUCUCUGCGGCGGAGAAGGGAAAAGCCCCUCAGGAGGAGCCAGAACCGCUUCCGCCGAAGAAAAGGUUUUGUCGUCCUUGCGAUGCCCGCGCGGGGCAGGAGGUGACCCGGCCUUGGCACGAACGGCCUCCGCCCGUCUUCCUUCUUCCCUUAUACGCCCGUGCGCAGGACAGCAAUGCCCACCGCUGAGCGAUUCGGGGCCAUGAACCCACGCUGAGGGCAGCUCGCGUGAGUUCGUGGUGUGGACGGUGGUGCCGCCUCGCUCGCGGAUCCGAUUCCCGAGGUUCUUCGCCGACGAGAUGCCGCCGAGGGGCCACUCGAGUUGUGGCUGCAGCACGCCGGGUGCUGCAGCCUGGCCACCGGAGUUAAGGUCGAGGUAGUGCCUCCUAGUGAUAUCUUCAUGACCCGUGGAUGGGGCGAGGUCGCCCUCACCUGUCGCUUUGAAGGGGCUCUCGCCAUCCACUUCGAGUAUGACGGCGCCUCCAUGUUGCUCUUCAAGGUCUUCGACGAGGAGCUGAGCAAGGUCAUGCACUCCUUGCUCGGGAAGGACCAGGGCGGCCCCCCGGACGACCACCUCCCGAUGUACUUCCGAGAUGGCAGGAAGGAGAUAGCCACUGCCAUGCUUGUCUUCAACGAGCGCGGGCUUGUGUCGCUGGAGCCUUCCCAUCCGGCAGGCUCCCUGGUGGACGUGUCCUCUGGCGACCACUCCUCCGAAGCCACCUUGGAGGGGGAGGGGGAGACCUCCCCACCACGGCAAAGCGACCUCCUCCGUGCCUUCUCUGAUGAUGAUGACGCUGGUGCGCACCCGGUCAGGGAGUCAGCACGCUCUGCCGGGGUCACCACGAGAUCUGGGGGGACCCCUCCAAAGAAGCCGAAGCGAGGGGUACCGAAGAGGGACAGGUUAACGCUGCUUCCCCUAAGCAGCGCUCCUGCUUCGCCGCCAUCAUCUAGCGUGGGGCCGGCCAUGCACUCGUCCGCUCCUGAGAGCGCAGCGCUGCCCGCGCCCGGGAAGUUCGCGCUUGUGGGCGUGAAGAGGAACUACGUCGCCAUGGAUCAGUAAGUGCACCUCCUCGCCCUUUCUUUGGAUUUCGAUGUAGUGCUUGUUGGGGAACGUAGCAUGCAAUUUCAGAAAAAUUCCUACGAUCACACAAGAUCUAUCUAGGAGAUGCAUAGCAACGAGAGGGGGAGAGUGUGUCCACGUACCCUCGUAGACCGAAAGCGGAAGCGUUAGUUAACUCGGUUGAUGUAGUCGAACGUCUUCACGAUCCAACCGAUCCAAUUACCGAACGUACGACACCUCCGUGUUCAGCACACGUUCAGCUCGAUGACGUCCCUUGAACUCUUGAUCCAGUAGAGGGUCAAGGGAGAGUUCCGUUAGCACGACGGCGUGGUGACGGUGUUGAUGAUGUGGUCCGCGCAGGGCUUUGCCUAAGCACUACGACGCUAUGACCGGAGGAGUAAAUUAUGGAGGGGGGCACCAAACAUGGCUAAGAGAAUUCUUGGUGUGCCUUUGGGGUGCCUGAUAACCCACAAGUGUAGGGGAUCGCAACAGUUUUCGAGGGUAGAGUAUUCAACCCAAAUUUAUUGAUUCCACACAAGGGGAGCCAAAGAAUAUUCUCAAGUAUUAGCAGUUGAGUUGUCAAUUCAACCACACCUGAAAGACUUAAUAUAUGUAGCAAAGUAUUUAGUAGCAAAGUAAUACGGAAAUAACGGUAACAGUGGCAAAAGUAAGAGUAGCAGUUUUAUAGUAAUCGUAAUAGUGGCAACGGAGAAGUAACUAAACAAAGAUCAAUAUGUGAAAAGCUCGUAGGCAAUGGAUCAGUGAUGGAUAAUUAUGCCGGAUGCGAUUCCUCAUGCAACAGUUAUAACAUAGGGUGACACAGAACUAGCUCCAGUUCCUCAAUGUAAUAUAUGCAUGUAUUCCGAAUAUAGUCACACGUGCUUAUGGAAAAGAACUUGCAUGACAUCUUUUGUCCUACCCUCCCAUGGCAGCGGGGUCCUAUUGGAAACUAAGGGAUAUUAAGGCCUCCUUUUAAUAGAGUGCCGGACCAAAGCAUUAACACUUAGUGAAUACAUGAACUCCUCAAAGUACGGUCAUCAUCAGGAGUGGUCCCAAUUAUUGUCACUUCGGGGUUGCCGGAUCAUAACACAUAGUAGGUGACUAUUGACUUGCAAGAUAGGAUCAAGAACUCACAUAUAUUGAUGAAAACAUAAUAGGUUCAGAUCUGAAAUCAUGGCACUCGGGCCCUAGUGACAAGCAUUAAGCAUAGCAAAGUCAUAGCAACAUCAAUCUUAGAACAUAAUGGAUACUAGGGAUCAAACCCUAACAAAACUAACUCGGUUACAUGGUAAAUCUCAUCCAACCCAUCACCGUCUAGCAAGCCUAUGAUGGGAUUACUCACGCACGGUGGUGAGCAUCAUGAUAUUGGUGAUGGAGGAUGGUUGAUGAUGACAAUCGUGUUGGAUUCCCCUCUCCGGAGCCCCGAACGGACUCCAGAUCUGCCCUCCCGAGGAAGAUUAGGGCUUGGCGGCGGCUCCAUAUCAUAAAACGCGAUGAAUCCUUCUCCCCGAUUUUUUCUCCUGGUGAAUAUAUGGAGUUGGGGUUGAGGUCGGUGGAGUCCUAGGGGGCCCACGAGGCAGGGGGCGCGCCCUGCACCCUCAUGGCAAGGGUGCGGGCCCCCUGAUGCUGAUUCCUUCACCAAUAUUUUUUAUUAAUUCCAAAACGUGUCUCCGUGGAUUUUUUGGUCAUUCCGAGAACUUUUAUUUCUGCACAAAAAUAACACCAUGGCAACUCUGCUAAAAACAGCGUCCGUCUGGGUUAGUUCCAUUCAAAUCAUGCAAGUUAGAGUCACCAUGAACAUGAAUAUCGUGGAGGCUAUGUUGCUUUUGUUUCAACUACAUGUUUGAACAUGUGCCAAGUCAAGCCACUCGAAUCAUUCAAAGGAGAAUACCACCCUAUCAUACCACAUCACAAUCAUUUUAAUAGCAUGUUGGCACGCAAGGUAAACCAUUAUAAACUCCUAGCUAAUUAAGCAUGGCAUGAGCAACUAUAAUCUCUAAUUGUCAUUGCAAACAUGUUUCAUUCAUAAUAGGCUGAAUUAGGAACAAUGAACUAAUCAUAUUUACAAAAACAAGAUAGGUCGAGUUCAUACCAGCUUCUCUCAUCUCAAUCAGUCCGUCAUAUAUCGUCAUUAUUACCUUUUCACUUGCACGACCGAACGGUGUGGAUAAUAAUAAUAGGGCACGUGCAUUGGACUAAGCUGGAAUCCGUGAGCAUUUAAUUCAAAGGAGAAGACAAGGUAAUAUGGGCCCCUGGUUAGAUCAAAAAUAAUGCAUAUGAGAGCCACUCAACAUUUUCAUCGUGGUCUUCUCCUCUCGACCCCCAAAGUAAAGAAAAGAAACAAAACUAUUUACACAGGAAAGCUCCCAACAAGCAAAGAAGAACGAGAAAUCUUUUUGGGUUUUCUUUUAAUUACUACUACUACAGGCAUGGAAAGUAAACUAGCUAAAAGAUACAACUAAUUAUUUUUUUUGGUUUUUCUUAAGGUUUUUCAAACACACAAGAAGAAAGCAAGAAAAGAAAAUAAACUAGCAUGGAUAGUACAAUGAAAAAGUAUGAGCACCGACAACUAGCAUGAGUGUGUGAACAUGAAUGUAAUGUUGAUGAGAAAUACGUACUCCCGCAAGCUUAGGAUUUUGGCCUAAGUUGGUCUAUGGCCACUGGUCGAAGCUACUCUCUCUGAUGUGCUGGGGAGGGUCCUCAGGGUGCCACUGGUUAGCGAUCUCCUCCGGAUCCCACUGAUAAACAGACUGUCGAUAUGGGUCAAGUGGUGGCUCAGGCUCACGCUCUGGGACUUGUGUCAGCCUCCAGUAUGCAUAAAUGGCCUCGGGCAAGAUGAGGUACGUGCCUGAAAGUAUGUUAAACAAAGAGGGUGCAGGCAAGGUAAUAGUUUCAUAGUGAGUUUUAUCAAAUAUCAAAUUAUACUUAAGCAUCUUCUUCUUAUUUUUAACAAUAAGUUCAUGUGCUACCAUACUCUUAUAAUCUAGAAAAAUAGUGGGAAGCAACUUUUCCUCUUUCUCAUGAUGCCUAAUAGGUAUCUCAAAAUGUUUAGCAAGGCGUGAGGUAAAGAUGCCUCUGAAGAUGGGGCCCUUUGUACGGUUCAGACUUAACCAUUUAGCAACAAUAGUGCCUAAACUGAAUGUUGUAUCACGAAACAAAGCAUGGCGCAAAAUAACAAUAUCAGGAGCACUAAAAUUUCCACUGUUCCCGCGACCAAUUAAGCAUCUACUAACAAAUAUCGCAAAGUAAAGUAGAACAAGAAAAUGUAUACUAGUAAUUCUUGCAUCGGAAACUUUCCUUGUUUCCCCUACAGCAAUUCUAUCAAUAAACUCAUCCACAUCACUAUGAUGUGGUUCCUCAAUGCUGCCCACAAAGGGUAUCUUGCAGACCCGACAAAAAUCAUGGAGUGACAUCUCCUUAACCUCAUCAUAUAAGUGAAACUCCACUGAAGGUGGUGAUUUCUUAGCAUGGAAACAAAUUUUGCACAAAAAUAUUAGUGAGUAGGAGAUAUAGUUCGCGCUGGUCAUGGAGGAAGUCGGUGAGGCCUGCAUUCUCAGCCAAGUAAUAAAAGUCAUCGUAAAUUCCGGUGGCCCUCAAGAACGUAUCACAAGGCCAUUCACUCGGCCGGACCUCCGCGGUGCGAGGAAGAUUGUAUUAGGGCUUUUUAUUCUCCUCAUUCUGCUUAUCCUUCGAGCUUCGGCUCGAGGAGCCCCUCAACAAUCUCUUCAUCAUUUUCUUUCUCUUAAAAAUUUCUGAAAUUUUUAGUGACUCAAAAUAAAAGUGAACCAAACUCAACAAGAUUGAUAGCAACUACUCCCACAAGUGCCCAGAGUUUGUAUCAUGCAUUAAAACUACUUUGGACCAUAUAAAUUUGGCAUGCAAGCUCAAGAACAGGGUCACCUUAGCAGCAACAAUUUGCAAUAAAUAAAGCACUAGAACAAAAACUAAUUGGACCAUUAGAGGAGUCACAUACCGAAGAACAAUCCCCCAAAGCAGUUUUGUGAAUGGAGCUUUGAGCAAGGAGAUAAAAAAUGGCAGCAAAACGAGCUAGAACAUGGGUUUGAGCUAUGGGAGGAUUUUUUUUGGAAGAAGACGAAGUGUGUGGGUGCUGGAAUAAGUGGGGGUCCAUGUGGGGCCCACGAGGUAGGGGGCGCCCCAGGGGCGCGCCCUGUGCCCUCGUGGCCAAAUGGUGGGUCCCCCUGGUGUGUUCUAAGUGCCAGAAAUUCUUAAAUAUUCUACAAAAAAUCAUACUUCAUUUUCAGGGCAUUUGGAGAACUUUUAUUUUCGGGGUAUUUUUUAUUGCAUGGAUAACUCAGAAAACAGAUAGAAAAUACCAAUUUUGCUUUAUUUAAUCUAAAUAACAGAAAGUAAAAGGAGGGUACAGAGGGUUGCGCUUUCUAGCUUCAUCCAUAUCAUGCUUAUCAAAAUGAAUCCACUAACAAGGUUGAUCAAAUCUUGUUAACUUCUUCCGAAUAACAUAAAAUCAGAGAAUAUUUGAAUAACACCUGGUUACCUCAACGGGGAUUUGCAUGUCCCCAACAAUAAGAAUAUCAUAUUUCCUUUUGACAGUAGGAAGAGGGAAUUCAAAACCUCCAAUAGUAAUCAUUGAAAUUGUUCCAAUAGAAUUGAUAAGAUGAACUUGAGGUUGUUUCCUCGGAAAGUGUAUUGUAUGCUCAUUACCAUUAACAUGAAAAGUGACAUUGCUUUUGUUGCAAUCAAUAACAGCCCCUGCAGUAUUCAAAAAGGGUCUACCAAGGAUGAUCGACAUACUAUUGUCCUUGGGAAUAUCAAAAGUCCGUUAAGAUAGUAACGUUUACAACCACAACAAGCACAUCCGGUAUAGCUGUUGAUUUAUCGGACAUUUGCAAAGAGAUUUCAGUAGGUGUCAACUUAUUAAAAUCAAGUCUAGGAUAUAAAGAGAGAGGCAUAACACUAACACCAGCUCCAAGAUCACAUAAAGCAGUUUUAACAUAGUUUCUUUAAUGGAGCAUGGUAUAGUUGGUACUCCUGGAUCUCCUAUUUCUUUGGUAUUCCACCUUUAAAAGUAUAAUUAGCAAGCAUGGUGGAAAUUUCAGCUUCCGGUAUCUUUCUUUUAUUUGUAACAAUAGCAUAAGGAUUCAUUUUAAGCAUAUCAAUCAAACGCAUAUGCAAAAAGAUAGGUCUAAUCAUUUCAGGAAAGCGCUCAAAAUCCUCAUCAUCCUUUUUCUUGGAUGGCUUAGGAGGAAAAGGCAUGGGUUUCUGAACCCAUGGUUCUUUUUCUUUACCAUGCUUCCUAGCAAUGAAGUCCCUCUUAUCAUAACCUUGAUUCUUUGAUUGUAGGUUAUCAAGAUCAACAGCAAGUUCAAUUUCUACAUCAUUUUUAUUACUGGGUUGAGCAUCAACAUGAACAUCAUUAUUAACAUUAUCACUAGAUUCAUGUUCAUUACCAGAUUGUGUUUCAGCAUUAGAAAUAGAAAUAUCAUUGGGAUUCUCAGGUGUGUAUAUAGCAGGUUCACUAGAAGCAUGCAAAGUCCUAUCAUUUUUCUUUUUCUCCUUCUUAGAAGGACUAGGUGCUUGAACAUUAGUUCUCUGAGAAUCUUACUCAACUCUCGUAGGAUGGCCCUCAGGAUACAAAGAUUCCUGAGUCACUCUACCACCUCUAGUCAUAACUCUAACAACAUUAUCAUUUUUCUUAUUAUUUAACUCACUGAGCAAAUCAUCUUGUGCCUUAAGUACUUGUUCUACUUGAGUGGUAACCAUAGAUGCAUGUUUACUGAUAAGCUUAAGGUCACCUUUAACUCUAGACAUAUAAUCACUCAAGUGUUCAAUCAUAUAAGCAUUACGUUUCAAUUGUCUUCCAACAUAAGCAUUGAAGUUUUCUUGUUUAACAAUAAAGUUAUAAAACUCAUCCAAGCAUUGACUAGCAGACUUAUAACGAGGAAUAUCACCUUCAUCAAAAUCUAUAGAGAGAAUUUACCUUUACUACCUGUGUCGGGUUAUCAAGACCAUGUAUUUGUUCAAUAGGUGGUAAAUUCUUAACAUCUUCAGCUUUAAUACCUUUUUCUUUCAUAGAUUUCUUUGCUUCUUGCAUAUCUUCAGGACUGAGAAAUAAAAUACCCCUUUUCUUUGGAGUUAGUUCAGGAAGUGUCCAAUCAUUAUCAUUGCUCAAUAUAUUAUUCAAUAGCAAUUCAGCUUGCUCAACAGUUCUUUCUCUGAAAACACAACCAGCACAACUAUCCAGGUGGUCUCUGGAAGCAUCGGUUAGUCCAUUGUAAAAGAUAUCAAGUAUUUCAUUUUUCUUGAGAGGAUGAUCAGGCAAAGCAUUAAGUAACUGGAGAAGCCUCCCCCAAGCUUGUGGGAGACUCUCUUCUUCAAUUUGCACAAAAUUAUAUAUUUCCCUUAAGGCAUCUUGUUUCUUAUGAGCGCUGAAAUAGUUAGUAGAGAAGUAAUAAAUCAUAUCCUGGGGACUACACACACAACCAGGAGCAAGAGAAUUAAACCAUAUUUUAGCUUCACCCUUUAAUGAGAACAGAAAUAACUUAAGGAUAUAAUAAUAACGAAUUUUUUCCUCAUGAGUGAAUAGGGUGGCUAUAUCAUUCAAUUUAGUGAGAUGUGCCACAAUAGUUUCAGAUUCAUAGCCAUAAAAAGGAUCGGAUUCAAAUAAAGUAAUUAACUCAGGAUCGAUAGACAAAUCAUAAUCCUUAUCAGAAAUACAGAUAGGUGAAGUAGAAAAAGCAGGGUCAUAUUUCAUUCUAGCAUUCAAAGACUUUUCUUUCAGCUUAGAUAACAGUUUCUUAAGAUCAUAUCUAUCUUUGCAAGCAAAAAGGUCUCUAGCAGUUUCUUCAUCCAUAACAUAACCCUCAGGCACAUCAGGCAAUUCAUAUCUAGGGGGAGAAUCUUCAUCAUCACUUUCAUCGAUAUUAUCAGUUUCAAUAAUUUAAUUCUCUCUAACCCUAGCAAGUUGUUCAUCAUGAAAUUCACCUAAUGGCACAGUAUUAUCAAGCAUAGAAGUAGUGUCAUCAUAAGCAUCAUGCAUAGCAGAAGUGGCAUCAUCAAUAACAUGUGACAUAUAAGAAUCAAUAGCAGGUGUAGGUGUUGCAAGCUUACUCAAACCAGAAGGUGAAUCAAGUGUAGAGCUAGAUGGUAGUUCCUUACCUCCCAUCGUAGUUGAGGGAAAAAUCUUGGUUCUUUCAUCUUUCAAGUUCCUCAUAGUGAUCAGUAGAUAUAAAUCCCAAGUGACUCAAAGAAUAGAGCUAUGCUCCCUGGCAACAGCGCCAGAAAAUAGUCUUCGUAACCCACAAGUAUAGGCGAUCGCAACAGUUUUCGAGGGUAGAGUAUUCAACCCAAAUUUAUUGAUUCUACACAAGGGGAGCCAAAGAAUAUUCUCAAGUAUUAGCAGUUGAGUUGUCAAUUCAACCACAACUGAAAGACUUAAUAUCUGCAGCAAAGUAUUUAGUAGCAGAGUGAUAUGGAAAUAACGGCAAUGGUGGCAAAAGUAAUAGUAGCAGUUUUGUAGUAAUCAUAACAGUGGCAAUGGAGAAGUAACUAAACAAAGAUCAAUAUGUGAAAAGCUCGUAGGCAAUGGAAUAGUGAUGGAUAAUUAUGUCGGAUGCGAUUCCUCAUGUAAUAGUUAUAACAUAGGGUCAGAACUAGCUCCAGUUCCUCAAUGUAAUGUAGGCAUGUAUUCCGAAUAUAGUCAUACGUGCUUAUGGAAAAGAACUUGCAUGAAAUCUUUUGUCCUACCCUUCCGUGGCAGCGGGGUCCUAUUGGAAACUAAGGGAUAUUAAGGCCUCCUUUUAAUAGGGUACCGGAGCAAAGCAUUAACACUUAGUGAAUACAUGAACUCCUCAAACUACGAUCAUCACCGGGAGUGGUCCCGAUUAUUGUCACUUCGGGGUUGUCGGAUCAUAACACAUAUUAGGUGACUAUUGACUUGAAAGAUAGGAUCAAGAACUCACAUAUAUUCAUGAAAACAUAAUAGGUUCAGAUCUGAAAUCAUGGCACUCGGGCCCUAGUGACAAGCAUUAAACAUAGCAAAGUCAUAGCAACAUCAAUCUUAGAACAUAAUGGAUACUAGGGAUCAAACCCUAACAAAACUAACUUGAUUACAUGGUAAAUAUCAUCGAACCCAUCACCGUCCAACAAGCCUACGAUGGGAUUACUCACGCACGGCGGUGAGCACCAUAAAAUUGGUGAUGGAGGAUGGUUGAUGAUGACGAUGGCGACGGAUUCCCCUCUCCAGUGCCCCGAAUGGACUCCAGAUCAGCCCUCCCGAGGAAGAUUAGGGCUUGGCGGCGGCUCCGUAUUGUAAAACACGAUGAAUCCUUCUCCUCGAUUUUUUUCUCUCCCCGAAAGUGAAUAUAUGGAGUUGGGAUUGAGGUCACUGGAGUCCCAGGGGGCCCACGAGGCAGUGGCGCGCCCCAGGGGGGAGGGGGCGCGCCCUGCACCCUCGUGGCCAGGGUGCGGCCCACCCUGAUGCUGAUUCUUUCGCCAAUAUUUUUUAUUAAUUCCAAAACGUGUCUCCGUGGAUUUUUCAGGUCAUUCCGAGAACUUUUAUUUCUGCACAAAAAUAACACCAUGGCAAUUCUCGUGAAAAUAGCGUUAGUCCGGGUUAGUUCCAUUCAAAUCAUGCAAGUUAGAGUCCAAAACAAGGGCAAAAGUGUUUGGAAAAGUAGAUACGUUGGAGACGUAUCAGUGCCCCCUGCCCACGUAUAUAAAGGAGGAGAGGAAGGAGGCUGGCAGCCUAGAGGGGCGUGCCAAGGGGGAAUCAAACUAGGAUUCCCUAUCCUAGUUGGUCUCCCUUUCCUGGCUAUUCCAAGAAGGGGAAAGAGGGAAGGAGAGGGAGAGGGAGAGGGAAAGAGGGGGCCGCGCCCCCUCCCCCUUGUCCAAUUCGGCCCCCCUUGGGGGGGUGGCGCGCCACCCUGCGGGCUGCCCUCUCCUACUCCCUUAUGGCCCAUUAAGGCCCAUAACUUCCACGGGGGGGGGGGGGUCCGGUAACCCCUCGGUUCCCCGAUAAAUAUCCAAAAUGUCUCGAAACCAUUUCGGUAUCCGAAUACCUUCAUCCAAUAUAUCAAUCUUUACCUCUCGACCAUUUCGAGACUCCUCGUCAUGUCCGCGAUCUCAUCCAGGACUCCGAACAAAAUUUGGUCAUCCAAAACACAUAACUCAUAAUACAAAUUGUCAUCGAACGUUAAGCAUGCGGACCCUACGGGUUCGAGAACUAUGUAGACAUGACCGAGACACAUCUCCGGUCAAUAACCAAUAGCGAAACCUGGAUGCUCAUAUAUGCUCCUACAUAUUCUACGAAGGUCUUUAUCAGUCAAAGCGCACAAGAACAUAUGUUGUUCCCUUUAUCAUCGGUAUGUUACUUGCCCGAGAUUCGAUCGUCGAUAUCAUCAUACCUAUUUCAAUCUCGUUACCGGCAAGUCUCUUUACUCAUUCCGUAAUGCUUCAUCCCAUAACUAACUCAUUAGUCACAUUUCUUGCAAGGCUUAUAGUGAUGAGCAUUACCGAGAGGGCCCAGAGAUACCUCUCCGAUACACGGAGUGACAAAUCCUAAUCUCGAUCUAUGCCAACCCAACAAACACCUUCAGAGACACCUGUAGAGCAUCUUUAUAAUCACCUAGUUAUGUAGUGACAUUUGAUAGCACACAAGGUGUUCCUACGGUAUUCAGGAGUUGCAUAAUCUCAUAGUCAGAGGAACAUGUAUAAGUCAUGAAGAAAGCAAUAGCAAUAAAACUUAACAAUCAUAAUGCUAAGCUAACGGUGGGGUCUUGUCCAUCACAUCAUUCUCUAAUGAUGUGAUCCCAUUCAAAUGACAACACAUGUCUAUGGUCAGGAAACAUAACCAUCUUUGAUUAACGAGCUAGUCAAGUAGAGGCAUACUAGGGACACUUUGUUUUGUCUAUGUAUUCACACAUGUACUAAGUUUCCGGUUAAUACAAUUCUAGCAUGAAUAAUAAACAUUUAUCAUGAUAUAAGGAAAUAUGAAUAACAACUUUAUUAUUGCCUCUAGGCCAUAUUUCCUUCAGUGCUCAAUAUCUUCAUUUGAUGUCAGGCCGUCGCCGGCGGUGAACAGGAAGAAGGGGGACGCUUGAGCCGCCGAGGCCAAGCGUGCCAUUACGGUUGCCGCGGCUCCGGCUCAGAGGGACGUAGCAGCUCCUGACGCUCCUGCAGCGACGCUGCCCUCCCGAAGCUUCGGAACCCAGCCUCAGGAGGAGAUGACUCCCGCGGUCGAGCUGACCCUGGAGGCGCUUGUCCCUGACUCACUUGCCAGGGGACCAAAAUCUCCGGAGCCCCCGGUCCUAUCUAUUGUUGCUGCUCCACUAGUCUUGGUGCCGACAAUGCCUCCUCUUCCAUCCACCACGCCGUCAGGCCGUGGUGCUUCUGCCGCGUCUAGAGCUCUGGAGGAGGCCCGCUCCAUGGUGGACCAGCUCUGGGAUGGUCUUCAGGGUCCAGACCGGCGCCGGGCGUUAGGGCUGCUAGAGCUGGUCUCGGGGUGCUCCAAGCCGAUGCGUUUGUCAGGACGACCUGGGGCCAAGACGUGGCAUCCGCGGAGGAGGUCUAGAGGGUGGAUGGCUUAGCCGCAGCCGCCCGUGACGUGGCACUGAAGGAAGCCAAGGACGCGCAGGAGUGCUACCGCGUGGUGGAGGCCGAACUGAAGACCCUUCAAGAUUAGUAGGACACCCAGACCCAUCAGCUCAAAGUGCAGGAGGAGGAGCUAAAGGCCCAGGAGGCUGCAGUUGCCGAUCGCGAUGCCGAGCUGGCGCAGGCAGCCCAAGAACAAGCCACAGAGCGCGGCCGCCUGGACAAGUUGAAGGCGGAGGUGGAGGCGGCCCAGGCGGCCCACACCAAGCUUGUUUCUGACGAGAAGUCUCGGCUGGACGCCAGGGAGAAGCUCCUCGCAAAGACCGAGGAGGCAGGCACCAUGAAGCGUGACGCUUUCAUCGCUCUUGAGGCGAGGUCCCGCAAGGUGCUGCAGGAUCUCUUCGGGGGCGAGCGCCAGGAGCCAGCGGUGACUCCGGAGCAGGGCCCCGACGUACUGCUCCCCGAGCUUAUCACUGCGCUCGAGAGCAUCGUCGUCGGGUUCGGCCCCAUGGUGGAAGGGGAGGCAUGCACGCUUUCUUCCUCGGCCAUGACACGCGUCUUCAGCCAUCUCUAUCUUUGGGACACCAACUUCGACUUCGGCGCCUUGCUCGAGCCCGUGGACUCUGAGUCCUGCGCCGCCGCUGCUGAAGCCGUGAAAGGUCAGGUGGAGGCCGUGCUAAAGAAGUUCCUCAUUGUCGGCCCCAUGGCUGGGGCUGAAAGCAAGGAUGACGGCAACAUCAUUAAUGACGGGGCUCCCAAGGCGGGCGACGGCGACGUCCAAGGCCGAAUAAGAGGCUUGAUGGCAGCACUUCUCCCUGUUUCUGUACUGCAACAUGUAUCAUGCCUUGCGGAGGCGUAAGAACUUAUGCUUGGUACUUUUUAAGAGACAAUGUGUUUUUGUAAUGAUUUGCUAAGGUUUCGCGAUCCCUUUUCCAUUCGCUUUAGCAUCUGCAUCAGCAGGGCCCGACCCCGCGCAUACCUCAGUCGUCGUUGGGUCGUCCGGAUUGCCAGGGCGAGGCCAAGGGGUGAGGGGCUACGUGGUUAGUUAGGCUCCUGAGACGCGAUGCUCAGGAGUCCCCCUUUACGUAUGAACAGCUUUUGGAGAGGAGAUGCGAGAGUAGGUCUUAGCGUUCUGCGUCGGCAGGGCCCGAUCCCGCGCAUACCUCAGCCGCCGUUGAGUUGUCCGGAGCACCAAGACGAGGACAAGGGGUGAGGGGCUACGUGGCCAGUUAGGCUCCUGAGACGCGAUGCUCAGGAGGCCCCCUUGACGUACGAACCGACCAUCGUACCUUUCCUUGUCGGGCUCUAGCUCGGGAGGGGUGUGCGAAGACCAGGUCUGUGGGACCUAGCAGGGUGGCGUACACCAGGCGUGACAUGAGCGUAGCCCCCAUGCCCAACCCCCUCGCGCUACUCUCCCGAGCGAAAGCAGCGCGGUGAGGCUAGGCAUUGAGCACGGAGGCUCCCUGAGGUUGCUGCAGGGCGGUGAGGCCGCCCUUAGUUGUUUAUCACACUGGUACUUCCGCUCUUGCACGGGCAUAGCCGCUCCUCGGCAGUGUCGACUGCUAGCGCGGAGCAUGGUGCUUCCACUGGUAUGUGGGGGGGGCUCCCUCUAAGGGGAGCCCCCAGGGCGUGUGCAGCCCCGCCCUGACACAUGGCUUGCAUGGCAGGGCUGGAGGAGGUGUGUCUGGGCACUCGUGAGCCAGAGCGGGACUCAUGAGGCCCUACCUCAAGGUGGGUUGCGCCUGAACUUGAUUGGGAACACUGGUGAUAGUCCUGCAAGAUGGUCAGGCAACCUGCACCGAGUGAAUCUCCUGAGGUUAUCGCAUGAGAAGGCCAGACACCAAUGCCCCAGGAGGUGACGUGAACAGGACUGGCCCGCCAGAUAGAGCUCAACCGUUGGGUUUAUCGACGCUGCAGGGACGGACCCGAGCACAGACGCCGUGCCCAGUCUUCUCAUGCGACGGUCCUGAAGAAAGACAGUCAGUGCGCGGCUCCCAUGGUGAUGAGGCACCGGGUCGCGCGCCCUCACUUGUUCGUCUGCAAUUAGAUCAUGCAAGAAUAAGGCACCAAGGGCCACGGGAGGUGACGUGCACGGGAGCUACCCCGCGAGCCAGAGCUCACCCUCUUGGGUUUAGCGAUGCUGCAGGGACGAACCCGAGCAUAGACGUCGUGCCAGUCCUUAAUCAUGAGGCGGUCGCGGGUGGGCUUGCAAGGGCGCGGGACAUUCAUGGUGACGAAGCGCCGGUCAGGCAAUGAUAACCAUAAGGCAACUCGUGGAAGACGGUUAGCCAGCUCUGAUAAAUGCAAGAAGGAUACAUGCCACAGGGACGGACCCGCAUGGCUUGGGGAUAUUGUAGCCCGAGGGGUGCCCCAAACUGAAUGAACUAAAAGAUGUCACCUGGCACCGUUGCUGAAGAGGUGUCGGAGUAGCAGAAGGUGUGCACUGCAGAAGUCGCUCCUCAUGAGUCGCCCUAGCCCUAAACCUCGGGAGGCUUGGGAGGCCCGGGGGGCUCAUGAGGAUCCGUUGCCAUCUCCGCCUGGAUCGCCUGACGCUUGGCCUCUUGAUUCGCUAGGACGCCCCGCAUGUGGAGCUGGCAUGCAGCAGCUGUGUUCAGCAAACCGAAGGGCAUGCAGAUGUAGCUAUGAGGGGGCCUCGCAUCGGCCAACACGGGACAGCCAGAAGAGCUCCUGAGACGCGGCCCUGUUGAGCCCUAGGAUGUCAACGCAGACGCACAGCUUCUCGUCCUCGCCUAGGCGAGAAGCCGCGCCUGGCGGUGGGCGGCGAUCGCCCCUCAUGACCCUUGCCUCCUGAAUCUCUUUGGCUGCCUUGUCGAAGAACUCCUGAGCGCCAGGCGCCUUGCGCCCAGCGCUCUCUCCAUGAAAGCGUGCACUGAAGCAUGCCUCCACAUGGUGCCCGAGUGCCUCCCUCAUGACGUUAGCCAGGUCAGAGGCCCUCCAGAGGAGAGGCCCCGAGCCCAGCCUGAGAGGGGCACCGGGCGCACCUUCCUAUGCGAGAGGGGAAGGCACCCCGUCCACAAACGCCAGGCUGGAGGCUACCCCGCCGGAUGCCCCAUCCUCCUGAGGUCCCUGGCGGAGCAGCUGCUUCUUCUUCUUGGGAACGACCUCAGGAGGGAGGAAGGCACCCUCGUCGUCAGGGUUCUCGACCGCUGCAUCCUGGUAGGCGCGCUCGAGGGAGCACACUGCGUCCUUUUCUUCGCAAGCGACUAUGGUGAUGCUGCAGUUCCCUGGCAUCUUGAGGAUAUUGUAGUCGUUGUGCGUUGCCACCAUGAACUUAGCAAGAGCUGGGUACCCGACGAUGGCAUUGUAUGGUAGGCGAAUGUAGGCGAUGUCGAAGUCGAUGAGCUCGGUGCGGUAAUUGUCGCGCUUGCCAAAGGUGAUGGGGAGGCGGACCUGCCCGAUCGGAUGCAUGGAGCCGUCGGUCACUCCUGAGAAGGGCUUGGGAGGCUGAAGCUGGUGAUACGACACUUGAAUCCUAUUGAACAUUUGGACAGAGAGAACAUUGAGCCCUGCACCGCCAUCAAUGAGCGUCUUGGUGACGAGCACAUUGCUGAUGAUGGGCGAGCAAAGCAUUGGGAGCGCGCCAGCUGUGGUCGUGCACUUGAGUUUGAGGAGUCGAAGGUGAUGACGUACUUGGAGCACCUGAGCGGGCGCGUCUCGAGCUUUGGAAGGGCUGCAUUCACCUCACGCGCGAACUGCUUGAAGAUGCGAUGAGAGGCUGGGGCCUGGGAGCCGCCCAGGAUGCAGGCGAUGGCACGAGGCUCUUGGAAGCCCCCAACCCCCUCGUCCUGAUGGUGGUCUUCGUUCCUUCUUGGCGGCGGCGGCGGCGGCGGAGGAAGACCAACGUUGCCCUGAGGCGGAUCCUCACGAAGCUGAUCCCUCCACGCACCCUCGCGAGGCUGGCUCUGCCGGCGGUCCUCCCGAGGCUGGUCGCGCCACUCCUGACGAUGGUCACGAUCGUCCCAGCGUCCUCCACCUUGGCCUCCUCCACGACCGUAGCCUCGAUCGUUGCGCUUGGGGCGACGACCGAGGCGCCCGUCGGGGAUUGCCCUGAGCUCCUGGCAGUCGUUGGUGUUGUGGUUGUGCACGUUGUGGAAGACGCAGAAUGGGCAGCUGCCCUUGGAUAACUCUGGGUGAUCACAGAUGCGCUGUAACGCCCCGGAUACAACUUUCCAUAUUCGUAACUCCAACUCUUGCCUUUUCCGGAGAUGCGAUAUGUUAUUUCCUUCGUGGUUGGGGUUUUGUCUUUUGUUUUGCAUUGUGUUCAUGUCAUGCAUGUCAUCUCAUCGCAUCAUUCGCAUUGCAUUCGCAUGUUUUCAUUAAACUUGCAUCCAUUUCUAGUUCCGGCUUCUCCUCGAUGCCUUUGUUGUUGCCUCUUUCGAGACCAACCGUUCUUUUGUUGUCCAACCGUUUGAGCCUCUCUGCACAUCCACCAACCACCUCCGCAACCUAGUCUGAAAACUUCUCCCGGACCCGACCCGGGUUGUCAUGACCAAUGGGUCCGGAUCAUCUCCUAACAUCUAUAAAACAUCUCCGUUUUUUUAAUUGGACUUCCUACACAUAUUUUUUCUCAACCGUCCGAUUACGAUCGUAGGGAUGCUCUAACCUAAAUUCAUCUGAUAUAAAUAUCGGGGCAACCCUAGAUCUAGCCGUCCCAUCCACCCAGUCUCAUCCGCGCUGCCACCGCUCUCUUUCUUCCCCUCGGGAUCCAUCCCCACCAACCGCAGCCUCCGACCAGAUCCCUGGUUUUCCGCGCAGCCGCCCGAGCACAUCUCGAUGGAUCGAGCGCUUCGCCUCGAAGCACAACAUCCCCUGCUCAUGCCCCGAGCCUCUCGUUGUCCAGGAGCACGAGCUCCAUCGCAGCGCUGCCGCCAGCCGGAGCAGCCGGUCAUCCCCGUCGUUGCCGAACCUCGCCGCUCCUCCCCUUUUCUUUGACUUCCUUCCUCUGGUUUUUCUCUGCUCUCAACACCUCGUCUCUCUCUUUCUCUGAUCACAGGAACAAACCGGCCCUGUAGCCGCUGACCUCGUCGGCAACAGCCGACGUCAUGGACGCCAACCGCAAAGCUGUCGCCCUCUUCGUCAGCCUGGAGCCCCGCUCGUCAUCGCCCGCUCGCGCCUGAACCAAGGACCCCGCCGCCCUCCAGCUUCCCCGUAGCCCCGCAGACGCCUCCUGCCCGAGUCGUCCCGUCCUCCACCACCACCCACGCGCUGCCGUCCAGGACCCCGGCAGGUCGCACCUCGCGCCGGUUGGAGCUCCGCAGGUCGGUGCCCCUUCCAAUCGGACCUCCUCCUCCAUUCCCUCCCUUUCCCUCCGGUCUCUAACCUCUCAUUCCCUCUCUCUGUUCUCCUUGUAGCGUUGUCGCCUCCUUCAUGUGCGUCAUGCGCGAAAACCGACAAGGCUCCAGCGCCAUGGCCUUCCCCACUUCUGCCCGAGCGCCUCCAGGACCUCGUCUGCCCCGCCGCGUCGCCGAAUCCGGCCACCAGGACCCUCCAGCGCCGCCACUUCUUUCCUCAUGCUGUCGCGCCCCUUCUUCCUCUGCUUCGAGGACGAGCCAGGCGACCGCGUUGACUUCUCGUCGCCAGCCAGAUCCACCAAGCCCAGCCGGCCUCUUCUGCUUCCAGCCGGGCCUCGGCCCAUGGUGAGCCUCCAGCCUAUCCCUCGCCCCAGCGCACAUGUUAGCUUGCGCCCACCAGAUUCGGCCCAACAUGUUUUUUUUUCAGAUCCGUGAAUUUAGACAUUAUCCAGAGAAUGCCGUUUUACAGAAAAACCCCCGUUCUUCAUGCAUUUAAUAACCCACAAACCGUGCAUCGGAUUAAAAUGUUUUAAACAUGUAAAAUGCUUAGAAUUUUGUGUAGAUUAAUAAUUUGCAACUUUCAUCCAUGUUUAAAAUGUUUAAAAUGAUGUUUGCAUUUAAUUUGCUAAUUGCCAUGUUAAAAUGAUUUAAUUCAUAACUAAAUAACCGUAGCUCGGUUUUAAAUGUUCUUUAUAUGUAAAUGGGGUGGGAAAAUGCCUAGAUUAACAUGGUGCACUUUGUUUUAUUGUUUAACAACUUUAAAAUAUGUUUUAGGGCAGAACAGUAGCUAAUUCAAAAUAUGCAUAUGGGGAUUUUCCGGAAUUGUUGUUUGUUGUUCCGGCCUCAUUUAAACUUGACUAAAUAGUUAGUUUACUUUUGAUUCACCCCUUGCCAUGUUUAACAACAUUUAGUAUUGAUGAGUAGCAUAACCGAGAGAGAACUAAAUAAUUGAUGUGGAGUUUUGUCAAUAUGCAACUCAUUGCAUAUUAAGCUCCACUUAAUUUGUAGUAUUGUUUGUUGCACUUUGCCAUGCCAUGCCUCAUUAAACUGUACAUGCAUCAUACUUGAUUGUGCAUCAUGUCAUGUUUAUGUGAUGGUUGUUUACUAUGUUGCUUGCUUCUUUCCGGUGUUGCUUUUUAGUUUCGGUAACGUUGCGUUCGUGAGGAUUCGUUCGACUACGUUGGUUCGUCUACUUCAUGGACUCGUUCUUCUUCCUAGCAGGAUUUCAGGCAAGAUGACCGCUACCCUGGAUCUCACUACUAUCAUUGCUAUGCUAGUUGCUUCGUUCUAUCGCUUUGCUGCGCUACCUAUCAAUUGCUCUUCAAGCCUCCCAAAUUGCCAUGUCAGCCUCUAACCUUUGACACCCUUCCUAGCAAACUGUUGUUUGGCUAUGUUACCGCUUUGCUCAGCCCCUCUUAUAGUGUUGCUAGUUGCAGGUGAAGUUGAAGAUUGCUCCAUUAUGGACAGGAUUAUGUUGGGAUAUCACAAUAUCUCUUAUUUUAUUAAUGCAUCUAUAUACUUGGUAAAGGGUGGAAGGCUCGGCCUUAUGCCUGGUGUUUUGUUCCACUCUUGCCGCCCUAGUUUCCGUCAUACCGGUGUUAUGUUCCCGGAUUUUGCGUUCCUUACGCGGUCGGGUGAUUUAUGGGACCCCCUCGACAGUUCGCUUUGAAUAAAACUCCUCCAGCAAGGUCCAACCUUGGUUUUACCAUUUUCCUCACCUAGCCCUUUUUCCCUUGGGUUUCCGGAGCCCGAGGGUCGUCUUUAUUUACCCCCCGGGCCAGUUCUCCUCCGAGUGCUGGUCCAAACCGAGCGAUGUACGGCGCCCCCUGGGCAACUAGGGUCUAUGCCAACCCGACGUCUGGCUCAUCCAGUGUGCCCUGAGAACGAGAUAUGUGCAGCUCCUAUCGGGAUUUGUCGGCACAUCGGGCGGCUUUGCUGGUCUUGUUUUACCAUUGUCGAAAUGUCUUGUAAACCGGGAUUCCGAGACUGACCGGGUCUUCCUGGGAGAAGGAAUAUCCUUCGUUGAUCGCGAGAGCUUAUCAUGGGCUCAGUUGGGACACCCCUACAGGGUAUAAACUUUCGAGAGUCGUGCCCGCGGUUAUGUGGCAGAUGGGAAUUUGUUAAUGUCCGGUUGUAGAUAACUUGACACCAGAUCCGAAUUAAAACGCAUCAACCGUGUAUGUAGCCAUGAUGGUCUCUUCUCGGCGGAGUCCGGGAAGUGAACACGGUUUCUGUGUUAUGAUUGACGUAAGUAGGAGUUCAGGAUCACCUCUUGAUCAUUACUAGCUUCACGACCGUUCCUUUGCUUCUCUUCUCGCUCUUAUUGCGUAUGUUAGCCACCAUACUUGCUUAGCCGCUGCUGCAACCUCACCACUUUACCCCUUCCUUUCCCAUUAAGCUUUGCUAGUCUUGAUACCCAUGGUAAUGGGAUUGCUGAGUCCUCGUGGCUCACAGAUUACUACAACAACAGUUGCAGGUGCAGGAUUAUGCGAUGAUCUUGACGCGAGAGGGAUGUUACUUGUUUUGGACUUCUUCUUCUGCUUCUUCUCCGAUCAGGGGAUAGGUUCCAGGUCGGCAGCCUGGGCUAGCAGGGUGGAUGUCGUUCGAGUUUCUGUUUGUGUUUCAUCCGUAGUAGGAUGCUGCUCUUAUGUAUGAUGAUGUUGUAUUCAUGUGGCAUUGUAUGCCUCUUGUAUGUAUCCCCAUCUAUUAUGUAAUGUUGAUGUAAUGAUAUCCACCUUGCAAAAGUGUAACGCCCCAGACACACCCGUCGGUGGUCGUUACUCCUGGCGAGAUCUAGACUGGCCCCACAGAUCAAUACUAGUCUUUUAUGUGCACUUUUGCAAACCGUGCAUCCGAUUCCGGUGAUCUUUAUAUCGAUUUCAACCGAAAUCAUCUCAUCUUUCCAGCGGCAUACUUGGUUUGCCAAGUUGAUGCCUGGUUCAUCAUUUUCCUUCCGGAGCACACAUAUGCAUUGCAUAUCACAUCUCGCAUAGCAUGUCAUGUAUUGCAUCAUAUUGCUUGUGCAUUGCUCCUUGUUUGAUUGUUGUUCCAUUGCUUGUGUUCUUGCUUUGGGUAGAGCCGGGAGACGAGUACGUGAACGAGGAACCUGUUGAGAACGCCUACGAGGAUCAAGCCUUCGACAACUCUGAGAACCUUGCAGGCAAGAUGACCAUACCUUCGAUAUCACUUGUAUCUUUGCUUGCUAGAUGCUCGAUCUUUUGCUAUGCCUAUGCUACGUUACCUACCACUUGAUAUAUCAUGCCACCCAUAUUGCCAUGUCAAACCUCUAACCAUCCUUUCCUAGCAAACCGUUGUUUGGCUAUGUCACCGCUUUUGCUCAGCCCCUCUUAUAGUGUUACUAGUUGCAGGUGAAGAUGAAGUUUGUUCCUUGUUGGAACAUGGAUAUUUUGGGAUAUCACAAUAUCUCUUAUUAAAUUAAUGCAUCUAUAUACUUGGUAAAGGGUGGAAGGCUCGGCCUUAUGCCCGGUGACUUGUUCCACUCUUGCCGCCCUAGUUUCCGUCAUACCGGUGUUAUGUUCCUUGAUUUUGCGUUCCUUACGCGGUUGGGUGAUUUAUGGGACCCCCGUGACCGUUCACUUUGAAUAAAACUCCUCCAGCAAGGCCCAACCUUGGUUUUACCAUUUGCCACCUAUACCUUUUUCCCCUGGAUUUUCGCGAGCCCGAGGGUCAUCUUUAUUUUAGCCCCCCNNNNNNNNNNNNNNNNNNNNNNNNNNNNNNNNNNNNNNNNNNNNNNNNNNNNNNNNNNNNNNNNNNNNNNNNNNNNNNNNNNNNNNNNNNNNNNNNNNNNNNNNNNNNNNNNNNNNNNNNNNNNNNNNNNNNNNNNNNNNNNNNNNNNNNNNNNNNNNNNNNNNNNNNNNNNNNNNNNNNNNNNNNNNNNNNNNNNNNNNNNNNNNNNNNNNNNNNNNNNNNNNNNNNNNNNNNNNNNNNNNNNNNNNNNNNNNNNNNNNNNNNNNNNNNNNNNNNNNNNNNNNNNNNNNNNNNNNNNNNNNNNNNNNNNNNNNNNNNNNNNNNNNNNNNNNNNNNNNNNNNNNNNNNNNNNNNNNNNNGGCCUGGUUUUACUCAUAGCUUGACUUAUCCGGAUGUGCCCUGAGAACGAGAUAUGUGCAGCUCCUAUCGGGAUUUGUCGGCACAUUCGGGCGGCUUUGCUGGUCUUGUUUUACCAUUGUCGAAAUGUCAUGCGAACCGGGAUUCCGAGACUGAUCGGGUCUUCCCGGGAGAAGGUUUAUCCUUCGUUGACCGUGAGAGCUUAUGAUGGGCUAAGUUGGGACACCCCUGCAGGGUAUUAUCUUUCGAAAGCCAUGCCCGCGGUUAUGAGGCAGAUGGGAAUUUGUUAAUGUCCGGUUGUAGAAAACCCGAAGUUGACCUUAAUUAAAAUACAUCAAUCGCGUGUGUAACCGUGAUGGUCUCUUCUCGGCGGAGUCCGGGAAGUGAACACGGUGUUGGAGUUAUGUUUGGCGUAGGUUGCUCUAGGAUCACUUCUUGAUCACUACUAGCUUCACGACCGUGCCUUGCUUCUCUUCUCGCUCUCUUUUGCGAAUGUAGCCACCAUAUAUGCUAGUCGCUUGCUGCAGCUCCACCUCACAAUUCUGUCCUACCUAUAAGCUUAAAUAGUCUUGAUCUCACGGGUGUGAGAUUGCUGAGUCCCCGUGGCUCACAGAUUCUACCAAAACAGAUGCAGGUACCGAUGAUACCAGCGCAAGUGGCGCAAUUGAGCUCAAGUGGGAGUUUGAUGAGGACCGUGAUCGUUACUAUGUUUCAUUUCCAGACGAUCAGUAGUGGAGCCCAGUUGGGGACGAUCGGGGAUCUGUGUGGCAUUUGGGGUAGUCUUCUUUUAUUUUGGUUCCGUAGUCGGACCUUGAGUGUAAUCUGAAUGAUGGAUGUUUAUUUAUGUAUUGUGUGAAGUGGCGACUGUAAGCCAACUAUGUAUCUCUUUCCCUUAUGUAUUACAUGGGUUGUGUGAAGAUUACCUCACUUGCGACAUUGCUUUCAAUGCGGUUAUGCCUCUAAGUCGUGCUUCGACACGUGGGAGAUAUAGCCGCAUCGAGGGCGUUACAAAAAGCGUCUUCAAGAUGCGCUUCUAUCCUUGGUGGGACCUUCGAGUUCCUUUAGGAUAGGGUCGCAUCUUGGGCGUGACAUGCGCUUCAUCUCUGGCUCGGCUGCGAGCACGGCCGGUCCCUUGCGCUUCACGUCCUUGGCCUUGGUCUUCUUGUCUUCUGGGUCUACAUCGGGGAUCUCGAGGAGGGAGAGGCGUCCCUCCUCAGCUCUCGCGCACUUGGUUGCCAUGUUGAACAUCUCCAGGGCCGUGCAUUGGUCUUCGUGUAUGGCGAGCUCCUCCUUCAUCUUGAUGUCACGGACGCCGUCGGUGAAUGCCGAGACGAUGGCUUCGUCCGACACCUUGGGAAUCUUUGAGAUGAACGAUGUUGAAGCGCUAGAUGUACUUCUGCAGGGUCUCUUCUGGUUGCUGCUUGACACAUCGCAGGUCACCCGUGGCCGGCGGGCGGUCGUGAGUGCCCUGGAAGUUGGUGAUGAAACGUUCUCGCAUCUCGUCCCAGGAGGAGACCGAUCCUACGGGCAGGUUCAGGAGCCAAGAGCGCGCGCCGUCCUUGAGGGCCAUGGAGAAACAGUUCGCCAUGACCUUCUCGUCGCCGCUGGCCGCCUCAAUGCUCAGCUCAUAGAGCUGCAGGAACUCAGCGAGGUCGGCGGCGCCGUCGUAGCGUGGAGGCAGGUCAGGCUUGAACUUCCCUGGACAGACGACGCUGCGCAACUCCGGAGUGAAUGCGCGGCACCCCGUUGUGGUCACGAGAGCCCGCCGUGGAGGUGGAGCCUGGUCUUGGCGUUCGCGCACCUUCACCACAGGCGGCGCACGGUCUAGAUGUGGCGCCGGUAGCGCGCGCGCAUAUUCUUGUGGCCGUUGGACCACCUGGUAGCUUGCUUCAUUGCGCGCGGGCGCCUGACACUGCGGAUCACGCCGAGGCGCCACCCGCCUUGGCUCGAUGAUGGCGUCUUGCCUUGGAGGCGGGGGAGGCGCCCCGUGAGCUACAUCUCCCGUAGCAGGCGACGGUUGAGGCAGUGAGCCAGCUGGUGCGGCAGAAUCCUGAGCGGCGGUGACAAGCUCGGCGAUACGGUCGAGCCAGUCCUUGUAGAGGUCGUCGACCUGGCAGUAGCACAGGAGCUCGCGUGCCAUGAGUAGAGCAGCCUGCGCGUUCGCCGGGCCACGACGAGCGUGAGAGGACGAAGCAGCUGGAGUCAGCGUCAGAGUGGCGGUGCACCCAUCGCGGCGCAUAGAUGGAUGCAGUGAAGAGGCUUGUUGCUCGUGGCCUGCGGGGCCCGUGGUGGCGUUCGCCACCGGCGAUGGGGGUCGGCGAGGGCAGCCGUCGCCCGCCAGCACUGUCUGAGCGACGCGGGUGGCAAGGGCGGCCCGGCGCUCAGCACGAGCUCGGCGCGCGUCAUCCAUGGAAGCGGUGGAGCGGUGGCGAGUCGAUCGACGGAAGAGAAGCUCCGACGCACCCCUACCUGGCGCACCAAAUGUCAGAUUUCGGGUUCCGCAAACCCUACUCUUGCUUUGUGGUGGAUUUGCCUCGAGGGGUUGAGGGUGAACUAGUAUAGUGGAGAACAACCUCAGGAGGUGUGUUCUUGGGCUCUAGUGAGCUGGUGAGGGUGGAGCGGAUGUCGUCCCAUCUCCCUCCUUUGGUGGUGGCUAGGUCCUAUUUAUAGUGGUCUUGGUCCUCUUCCCGAAUGGAGGCGGGAAGGGAUCCCACAAUGGCCAAUUUUAAAGGGAGACAACAAGUACAUCUUAUCCUGACUAAAGUGCUCUUCGCCUGCAAAAGCCUGUGGUCGUGACGCUGCGGUGGGCUCGACGAUGACCUCCGUCCUGCCUGGCGGUCUUGAUCUUGUUGCAUGGGAAUGGAAACCUUUGACUGCUUCCUCGGGACUCCGCACCUGCUGCUUGCCUCCUUUGCACGAAAGAGGACACUAGUACACUGCGCCCGCUGGCGCCCGCCUUGACGCNNNNNNNNNNNNNNNNNNNNNNNNNNNNNNNNNNNNNNNNNNNNNNNNNNNNNNNNNNNNNNNNNNNNNNNNNNNNNNNNNNNNNNNNNNNNNNNNNNNNNNNNNNNNNNNNNNNNNNNNNNNNNNNNNNNNNNNNNNNNNNNNNNNNNNNNNNNNNNNNNNNNNNNNNNNNNNNNNNNNNNNNNNNNNNNNNNNCGAUCGUCAUUGCUCACGUCACCCGAACCUCGCAAGGUGAGUCUUGCAUAGAAAUCUCCGCUCCUCAGGAGCCAGCAUGAGGAGGCUGAUCCCCUUGAAGGUCUUGGUGCCGUCCGCUUCGCGAGGCUUGGCCCCUCGUGAGGGUCUUGGGUUGUCGAUGUCGAAACUGGGCCGCACCAGGUCGUCGGUGGAGCCACGCCAUGGGCCGUAGGCAGGCAAGUCUGGGUACCCCCGUAUCCAAAACACCGACACUGACCCGACGUUAUUUUCUGUUACCCAGAGGUUGUUGUCCCAUUGGGAGCAGGGGUGAGACCUCCGUGAGAAAGAAAGAAGAAGAACAAUAAGAGAAACAGAUCUCGAUCCUCGAUCUGCAAGCUCACGGGCUACACUGGUGGCCACUACGCCAACUUCAGCUUUGUGUAUAAUACAAGGGCGCGACCUCGUUGAGGGUAAAAGACCCAGUUUUGCAUUGAUUUUUCCGUGUUUUUGUUUCUGUUUUGUCUUUCUUUUUUCAUUUGUUUCUCUCUGUUUCUUUCUUUGUAUUUGCCAUCUUUUUACUUUCUUUCUUGUUCUUAUGUUUUAGUCAGAUUACUCCUUUUUUCUUCCUUUUUCGUCUUCUUCUCUUUUUUGUUUUCUUUUCUUUUUUGUUCACCUGUUUUUUCGUUUUCAUUUGGUUUUUCUUUGUUUCUUUCAUUGUUUUUAUCAUUUUUGGGUUUUCUUGGUUUGCAUUCUACAUUUUUCGUAUAUGUCAUGAAGAUUUUUCUAAUGCACGUUAAUACUUUUUAAUAUGACGUUAUUAUUAUCUAGGACAUGGUUAAUAAUUUUUCUAGUCAUAUUUAAAUACUUUAUAAAUGCUGGAUUUACAUUUUCUAAUAAUAGUUAAUAUUUUUAAUACACAUUUUAAAACAUUUUCAAAUGCUUGAUUAAAAAAUUCAAAAACAAGAUUAACAUUUUUAAUAAAAGGUCAAUAUUUUACCUAUACCCUCUUCACAAGAAUGCAAAUGCUUCAGUAACACUUGUCAAAUACAAGAUUAACAUUUUUUAAUACACGCUCAACAUUUUUUCUAUACACACUUUUAAAAAAAAUUCAAUGCUUGUUAACAUCUUUCGAAUACAAGAUUAACAUUUUUUAAUACAUAGUCAAAAAAAUUCCUACAAACUCUUUUAAACAUUUUCGACUGCAAGAUUAACAUUUUUCUGAAUGCAUGGUAAAAAAAAUUGUAUCCACAUUUAAAAUUUUCAAAUGCUUGAUUAAACAUUUUUAUAUACUUCUCCAACAUUUUUAAAAUUUCUUGAUUAAUAUUUUCAUAUAAAAUGAUCAAAAGGUUACAUCAUUUUUUAAUACAUGGUCAACAUUUUUUCUAUAUAAAUUCAACAUUUUUAAGCACUUGAUUAACAUUUUCCAAAUACUUGUUUAAAAUAUUCUAAAUACAUGAUCAACUUUUUUCACACCCAUUGUACAUUUUUUAAUACAUUGUUCGUAUAUGUGAUUAACAUUUUUUCAUACACAUUUAACAUUUUUGAAAUGCACUAUUGACAUUUUUUAGAACAUUUCUGAAAAAUAUAUUUUGUAGUAUAUAUAUUUAGAAUUUUUGGAGUGUAAACAAAAGUAAGAAAAUAAAUCAGAAAAAGAAAGCAAAAGGUCAACAAAAAAAAGACGAAAGCCAAUUAUUUGUUCAUGCCCUGGAAUUGGUCAUGCCAAUUAUUUGUUAGGGCAAGAUUGAGCUCAAUCCGAACGGGAGCGCCUAUACAGCGCGAUACUCGCCNNNNNNNNNNNNNNNNNNNNNNNNNNNNNNNNNNNNNNNNNNNNNNNNNNNNNNNNNNNNNNNNNNNNNNNNNNNNNNNNNNNNNNNNNNNNNNNNNNNNNNNNNNNNNNNNNNNNNNNNNNNNNNNNNNNNNNNNNNNNNNNNNNNNNNNNNNNNNNNNNNNNNNNNNNNNNNNNNNNNNNNNNNNNNNNNNNNNNNNNNNNNNNNNNNNNNNNNNNNNNNNNNNNNNNNNNNNNNNNNNNNNNNNNNNNNNNNNNNNNNNNNNNNNNNNNNNNNNNNNNUUUCAGCUUAAUUUCAGUUUCAAAAAAAUAGGAUUUCAGAAAAAGUUAGAAGUUGUCCAAUUAUUUGUGAAUUCAAAAGGUUGUUCCCUAUUUGAAAUUUCUUCAGGAAAUGAUAAAUUCUCAAGAAUUCAAAAAAUGUUCACAAUUUCGAAAAUAAUGUUCAUGUGCAAAAAAUAUUUAUAAAUUUCUAGAAAAUGUUCACCAUAUUCAAAAAAUGAGCAGGAAUUUUGAAAAAUGUUCCCCAAAUUCACAAAAUGUUCGCAAUUUCAAGAACUAUGAAGGAACUAAAAAAUGUUCGUCAAAAACAAAAAAAGCUCGGAAUUUCAAAAAAUGUUCAGAAAUUUCAGAAAAUAUUCGCCAUUUACAGAAAAAUUUACACAAUUUCAAGGAUUGUUCGUGAUUUUGAAAAAAAAAACCAUGAUUAUAUAAAACAUUUGACAGGUUUAAAAACUGUUCAUGAUUUCAUAAAAUUGUUUACUUUUUCAAAACAAUAUUCACGAAUUUGUAAAAAAAUAUUCAGCAAUUUGAAGAAUGUUCAUAAUUUCGAAAAAAAAUCGCAAUUUUAAGGAAGUUUGUUCGUAAAAUUGAUACAUGGCCGAACUUUUUUCAGAAAAGGUGAAAAUAAGGAAAAAGUAAAAAAAACAGAACAUUAAAGAAAAGAAAAAAUAAAAGAGUUAAUUGGAAAAGUUAAACAGAAAAAGGAAAUAAAAAACGGAAGAAAUAAACAAGAAAAAACCGGUUCUGGGAAGGUUCUAGAACCUUCCCAAAACCGGUGGGGAGGAAUCCCUAUAUGGGCCGGUCCAACGGACGCUGGGGGAGGGGAAGAGACCUCCUAUAAUCCGCACUCUGUGGGAAAGUGUCGUGGCUUCGCACAGGCGGCCUCCGGCUGGGCUGGCCCAGUACCGCCAGCGGACUUGUAUUGUAGCUCAAAAAAAACGACUUUGCAUGAAAUCGAACCAGGGAUCUCGUGCUGCAAAAUAGAAUUUGCGACCAGCUGAGCUAGCGAUCUUUUCUAGUAAGAUAGCAGCGUCAAUCUUUAAGAACCAACACACAGGGCAGUUCCGAAUUAUUUUUGUAAUUUCGAAUUCAUUUUUUUAACAAAAAAUGAGUAUUUUCUGACACGCGAAUACCUUUCAAAUUUCAGAAUGGUUUUUUAUAAACAGAAAUGUUUAAGAAAAUAAUUGACAUUUUUCGUAAUCAGGAACAAUUUUUUAAACGAGAAUUUUUUUUCAAAUUUCAAAAUAAAACUGGGGAAAUACAAACAUUUUAAACUCCUGACAAAAUAUGCAAAACAUGAACUUUUUUAUUGAAAUUUCUGAACAAUUUUUGACAAGGGAGUUUUUUUUUGAAACUUCAGAAAACGAAAACAUGAACAUUUUUUGAAACCGGAACAUUUUUUGAAAACUUGUGAAAUUUUGGAGCAGAAAUUAUUCCGAACUUUUUUUGUGAGAACACAAACAAUUUUUUGAAUAAGUGAAAUUUUUUUGAAAAAUGUAUGCGAACAUUGUUUUUGGAAAAAAUGAUCGUCUUGGAAUUUUUAUCAUUUUUAGAAGCAAGAACAUUUUUUGAAAGUCACGAACAUUUUUUUAACUCCCGAACAUUUUUUGAAAAUUUUGAACAAAAGCAUUCGCAACAUUUUAACCAAAACAAGAACAUUUUUUGAAAAUAAUGAACUUUUUCGAAUUUAUGAACAAUUUUUUAAAACGACUAUUUUUUAAAUUUUGAACAUUUUUAAAGGCAUGAACAUUUUCAAAAUUUAAGAGCAAUUUUGGAACAUGAACUUAGUUUAAAAAAGAUAAAAUAACCUUGAAAAGGAAAAAAUAAAAAUAAUAGAAAAAAAAGAAUAAAAGAAUAGAAAAAGAGGAAAAAGAAACAAAAACUAAAAAAAGAAAACAGAAAAACCAGCAAAAAAACAAAAAACCCGGUGUGGGGAACCUUCUAGAAGGUUCCCAAAACCGGCUGGCUGUUGCAAUUGUACACUCAACUGGGCCGACCCAUCACAUCGCUGCUCAGUCGCUCGCGUAUGCGAAGCGCCGGCAGUUUGACGCAAAGAGCUUCAAAUAGGAUUUCCCGAAGGGGAACGCGCCAAGGGAACUCCUAUUGGACACUCGCUGCGGCAAGCAGUCGGCAUUUCACACACGAGCAGCUUGGCUGGGCCGGCCCAUAUUGCGGGUGCGGCACAUUCGUAGGUUAAAAAUCGCGAAAAAGGAAAAAGGGUACUGGAAUCGAACCCAAGACUUCCUAUUGCUAAGCGCGAUGAGCUAGCCGCCCCAACUAGCUACUUCUUAUGGUAAAUUGGCAGCGCGAACCUAAAGAAAUUAACGGUAGCGAGAAAACAUAAAAUCUGAAUACGCAAAAUUACGAUGAACCAAGGUGUGAGCGAGGCACCUCUCAAUACAACUAGGUAGUCAAAAAAGGUAGCCCAACAAAUAUGAACUAUAAACCGCGACAAAGGCUAUAAUUAAAAAAAUUCAAACGUGAAUUCUUUUGGCAAAAAGUAAAUAUUUUCUGAAACGCACCCAUUUUAUAAUUUGUGAACAAAAUUUUAAAAAUUAGAACAUUGUAUGAAACCGAAAACAUGUUUUUGGAAUAAAAAAGGAAGAAAACUGAAAUUGCGAACAUUUUGUUUAAAUGCGACCACUUCAAAAUUUGUGAACAAUAAUUUUAAAAUUCGAACAUUUUCGUAAUUUCAUACGAGAACAUUUUUCAAAUUUGCGAACACUUUUUUGAAAAACAGAAUAGAAUUGAAAACCCAAACAUUUCGAAUUUCCCAAAACAUCUUUCGAAGACAUGAACAUUUUUGGAAUUUGUGAACAAAUUAUUUAAAGCACGAACGAUUUUGAAUCUUGAGAACAAAUUUGGAAGCGCCAACUAUUUUUUCAACCACGGACAUUUUUUGAAUCUUGAGAACAAAUUUUGAAAUGGAAAACAAUUUUGAAAUAUUCCGAACAAAUUUGGAAGCGCGAACAAUUUUUUAAAGCACGAACAUUUUUUCAAUCUUGAGAACAAAUUUUGAAACGAAGAACAAUUUUGAAAAAUCCCAAACAAAUUUGGAAGCGCGAACAUUUUCUUUAAAAAGUGAACAAAAUAUUGAAAUCUGCUACAUUUUUUGAAUUUCGAAAGUUUUGAACUUUUCUGUGUAACGAGAACAUUUUUUGAAUUUUGAGAACAUUUUUUCAAAAGCUGAACAUUUUCUGAAAACAUGAACAAAAUUUCAAAUUUUCGAUCUUUUUGAAGAAAAAAGAGAAGAAAAGAAAAAGAAAUAACAAAGAAAAUCCUUUUUUUGUAAAACUGCAAACAUGUUCUGAAAAAGAAAAAGAAACUUGAAAAAUAAAAGGUAACAAAAAAGAAAAAAUGAAAAAGAAACAGAAAACGAAAAAACAAUCAGGAAAGUGUAAAAAAAUGGAAAACCAAUAAAAGAAAAAAAACGGUUCAUGGAACCUUCUAGAAGGUUCAUAAAACCGGAGUGGGCAGUUUGUUUGCUAUGUACGUAAGUGGGCCGGUCCAAAAGCAUCGCUCGGUCGCUCGCUGUGUGCGAACCGCCGGCAGUUUGCCGCAAUGAGCGGCCAAUAGGAUUUUCUACGCGCCAACUCGCUAGCGAGCGACCUAUGCGCCAUAAAGGGAUCGCCAAUCCAAACAGCCCAGUUGCCGCGCCAUGGGCGCCAUCAAGCUCAGCUGGCACGCACUAUGGGCCGGCCCAGUUAACCUCAGCUCGCUCGUUUAAUUCCAAACUUCUAGGUCGGUGGCUCACCUGGUUCGACCGGUUGACCAAUAACUUAUUGACGGUUGAAGAGUCAAACCGUUAACCAUUCACUUUUUAAAAAGUUCAAAUUUUUAAGAAACAGAAAUAAAUAUGUUAGCAAAAUUAACAAAAAUCAUAAAUUUCAAAAAGAACGUGCCUUUGAAAAUUCAUGAUUUGUCUUUUUAAAAUCCAUGAAAUAUGGGGAAAAUGUUCACAAUUUUGAAAUAAAAUCAUUAAUUCGAAAAAUUUCAUGAAAUUUGGGGAAAAAAGUUCGUGAAUUUGACUACAAGUGACACGGAUUUGGGAAAAAAAAUCACGCAUUUAAAAAAAUCAAUUUUGAAUUAAAAUUUUCAUUUAUUAGAAUAAAGUUCACUGGAUUUUGAAAAAAAAGUCACGGAUUUGAAAGAAGUUCAUCGACUUUGAUAAAAGAAUUCACAAAUUUGAAAAACAUUCAUCAAUUUUGAAAAAGUGCCACGAAUUUGGAAAAAAUGUGAACAAAUAAAGUUAACGAAUUUGAAAAAAGAUCACCUAAUUUUGAAAAAAGGUUCGCGGAUUUGUGAAAAGUAUGUUGAUUGUGAUAAAAAUAAAUUUCAAAAAUUUGAAUGAAGUUAAUCAAUUUGAUAAAGUUCCCAAUUUGAAUAAAGUUCCAAAUUUUAUUAUUUUUCUAUGCAUCUUAGAAAAUAAAAAGAAAAAAGAAAAAAGAAAAAAGUAAACAAAAAAUUAACAACCCGAGCGAAAAAAACAGAUGAAAAAUUGGACAAACAAGAAAAGUCUAGAAGGCGCAGAAUAAGAAGCAACAGAAGUAUUAGAAAGCAUAGUGUGUGAGCCGUCCGAGUUGGUUACUGAAUUUGGAAGAAGACGGUGAGGUUCUAAGUUUGAACCUCACGACCCGCGUGACCUUUUGAAGGUUGAAAAAGAAGAAAAAUGGGCCGAGCCCAGGACACAGAGGGUGUACGCCGGUUUAUUCAUGUGCCUUAAAGUGGAGCAGGGGAAGGGAAUGCUCUUUUGCUGCUGACUAUCUUGUAUGGGCUUCUUCGAUCCCGACAGGUGGGGCACAAUCAGGGCAAGUUUGAUGAGGAUAAUGGUAUGUCAGAGGAUGAUAUCGAUCCAGGUGCGGCGACCAAGUGUAACGAGCUUAAAAAAAUUCAGAACGCCGCACCCCAUGCCUAGUCAGGAUCCACCUUGUGAUGCUACCGAUGCAUCGAACUCCCCGACAUAUUUUAAAUGUUCAGAACUUUUUUAAAUAAAAUAGCACAUUUACACAAAAUAAAUGUAUGUUGUCAUAAAAUUUCAAAUUAAAAUUUUAAAAUAGUGUAUGUUGUCUCAAAAACUCAAACUAAAAUUCAAAACAUAGCUCAAAAAACAAAAUGACAAAUUUGACAAUAAAUAGUACACCCCUCAACUCUAGCCCUAGUCUAAUUUACACCCCCAACUCCAAUAUCAUCUAGUUUACACCCCACAACUCUCAAAACCAGCUAGAAUUCAACCCUCCCCUCCCUGUUGACCGGUUUUGACCUGUUGACUGGGUGAACAGUAAAUUUAAAAGGAAUAAAAAAUUUAAAGAAAACAUGUUUAACCGAGUGAACAGUAAAUUCACAAGGAUAUAAAUAAAAAAUUCAAAAAAUAAAUUUGUUUUUUUAUUUUUUAUUUUGUUUGGUGAACAGUAGAUUCAGAAAAAUAAUAAAAAACAAAAAAAGACAAAUGUGACGUCUGUGAAACAGUUAACAAUACAUACUGUUCGGGACAAUCUUUUUUGUUGAGAGACCACUCAAAUAUCCAAACAAGCUGAAAAAUCGGCGCGGACAUCACGCAUUGAAAAUCAUCCAUGCAAAAAUAAUUCCGUUUUUUUUGAAAAAUUUAGUAUUUUUUUGAAUUUACUAUUCAGCCGGUAAAAAAUCAAAAAUGUUUGUUGAAUUUUAUUUCCAACUUUUUUAAAUUUACUGUUCACCCAUCGACAAACAAAAUUAUUUUUUGAUUAUUUUAGUUAUUGUUCAGCCAGUCAACGGGUCAAAUCUGGUCAACUGUGUCAAAACUGGUCAAUAUGGAGGCGAGGUUGAAUUUUGGCCGGUUUUGAGAGUUAGGGGGUGUAAACUAGACGGUAUUGAACUUGGGGGUGUAUAUUAGACUAGGUCUAGAGUUAAGGGGUGUAAUAUGCACUUCUCUCCUUUAGAUUUGACCCCUUGUCACAUUGAUGUCUAAUUAAUCACCUUUGUAUCUCGAGCAGUGUUUUGAAUUUUGAUAUAAAAUCUUAUGAUAAUAUACAUCGAUGUUGCAUCAAUAUGCUAGAUUUUAGAAGAAAAGAAACCCUCGGGUUUUCGGGGCAUUGCAUUCUCACCCAUCUCUUCAUACUCAAGCGACGUUCUCUCUUCUACUUCGUUGACUCUCGCUUUCGCGGUUGCCUCUCUAAGGCGGACACUAUCCUAUCAAUGCAUUUUGGCAUCCCACACCUUUAUUUUUUUGCGAGAAACUUUCAGUCUAUUCAUUUUCAAUCAUGGUGGUUCAAAGAAUAACAGUGGUAAUAAAAACUUAGCCCCCUUUCGUACAACCUGUUCUCUCUUUGUGAAAGGCCUCUGAUUUCAUGAUCUAAUUUGAAGAACUGGCUUAAGAUCGUAGCUCUAGUUGAAAAAAUCCCCCACUCAAGUUAGGCCCUGGAAAACCAACCAAAGAAUGGAAGGAAUGCGCGAUGGAGGCCCUCGUAAAUUAUAAUUUGAACUAUAGCCAGGGCAAAUCUCUUAAUAUCGGAGGUUGGUUUCUAGGCAGGUGCAUAGGAGCCGUCAAAGGAAAGGCGAGAAGCCUUGGCUUUGAUGCACCCCGAUUUAUACAAAAAGGAUCAGAGGUCAAAUUAGUUAACGAAUUAUGAUAUUUGUGAAACAUACAUAAUGUGCUACCCCUCCGUUCCAUAAUGUAAGACUUUUUUUGAUACUACAAUAGUCAAAAAAAUAUGUUACAUUAUGAAACGGAGGGAGUAGAUUUUUAAACAAGGGAACUUCAAUGAAGCCAGAUUCUAUUUUUUAAACAAGGAAUUUCAAUGAAGCCAGAUUCUAUUUUUGCAAAUGCUGCAGCGACUUCUUUGACAGGAAUUCAUCAAUAAAAAAAGUGGAAGAGCAUGAAGCUUCAUUCCCUUGCAAGCUGAUAUGGCGCCUGGCAUUCCACAUUCAAAACAAGCAAUCUCGGGCCGCAGCUUCUAAGAAUCUCAGCUAGCAGGUUUUGCAGCGACCCUCCCCGAGAGGAUAACUAAGGGCGUGUUUGGUUGCCCGCAUAAGAUCCAACCAGGCCCGCGCGUGAAGGAUUCGGCCUGUUUGGUAGCCUGCAUACAUUAUUGGGCCUACAUCGCAUGCUUCUUAAAGCAUCUCAGGGCCUGGCUCACUGAAAACGCACGAAUCGGCAGUUUCUCUAGGGACAGGCCCGAGCGGUGCACGUGGGCGGGCGCGGCUGCACGCGCGCGGCCACGCUCGAGAAGCCGCGUUGCUUCCCGAAGCACCGGCAGUUAUUAGCCUCACCGCCCCUCACCGCUCCCUCUCCCCACUCUUCCCCACUCUUCCAACUCUCACCGGCGGCGGCGGAUUGGAACAGAGGAAGAAGACCACCGGACUCCAUCACCAGCGACGGCGGAUCAGAGCAGAGGAAGAAGACCACCAGACUCCAUCAAUGGUGGUAAGCACUUCUCUCUCUUCGACAUGAACACUUGAUUCGAUCCACGGCGAUAGAUUUGAUCCACGGCGGACGAGAAUGGGGAACAGAGGUAGCUAAGCAUAGGGGUAAUUCAUACUAGUUCAUAGCAGUUCAUACGAGUUCAUACAUAGCAGUUCAUACAUGCAAGAUCGGUAGAUUUCGCGAUUGGGGGAUAGGGGAAUAGGGGGAAAGGGGGUACAGAACGGACACCGGCUGACCGUGGCGGCCGUCACCGGCGUGCGGAGCGGCUGGUCGAGCCGCUGGCCUUCAUCUUCUUAUUCAUCGCCGUGCGGUCCGGCGGGUCAUCCUCGGCGGAGUCGAGGUCGGUCUGCCAAGUAGGACGGACUGGCUUCGGUGCCCUAACCGCCUCUUCUUCCUCCUCCUUAGACUCCCCGCCAAUGACCGCCGACGGCGCGAUACCCGUCCCCAGUACACUGCGGCACGGCGGUCAUUAGGAGCCCAGUAGGUCUUGUACUUGCACCACUUCUUCCUCUGUUUAGGGUCGUCGGAGACGGCCUGAUUCAUGGCCCAGCAAAUGAUGUCAACUGCCAUCGCACCCUUCGCUGGGUCAGGAAUCAGUGUCUUCAGCUCAUCUUUAGUGGCCUUCAUGAGCACGACAUUGGAUUCGUUCUGCAUGUCCAGCAUGGAGCCGAAGUUCGAGCACACCUCCAUGGUGUUCUCGAACUUGGUCCGAUCACCAGCCGUCCACCCGAGAAAGAAGGCCCUCCAGCCAAUACCCCAAGGGAAGGGGUUGCCGUUGGAGCUGGAGCUAGAGCUCAUGGCGAUAGGGAGGAGGAAGGUUGACAGUGAGAGAAGAGAGGGGGUGGGUAAAUAGUGGUGGGUAGGGUGAGUAAAUAUAGGGGGUGGAGAGGAGGAGAAGAGUGACAGUCAUGUCGUUUUAACUACAAGCUCUUGAAUUAGCCAUGAACUCUGUGCAAUGCCUGAUUCCAUGACUUGUGUGCAGAUCGAGGAUAGCAAUGAGAUGGGCACGGAGGUACUCUCGGCCGUUGAUAGCAAGGGCAAGCAGCCCCUUCACCCAAUGCCUGACGAGGUUGAGCUACCGCCCACCACCGAGGAAGACCCGAAAACGCGUGAGGGUGGCGACGACGAGGGCAUGGAGGAGCCCCUAGCAACAAGUGCCGCAACUACGGCCACUACCAUCAAGAGGAUGACCCAACUCACUUCCGCAAGGUCAUCCUUGCACCGAAGCUUGAGUGCAUCCCCAUGCCCCUGGACUUCACCAAGCACUUCGUCGCGGUGCCGACGGAGUUCAAGCUCAGGAAGAACACCGACUGCUCCUGGAAGGUAACGGUCAAGCUGAUGAACGGCAGGGUGACCCUAGAUCAGGGUUGGGCCACCUACGCAGCCGUUCAUCAGAUCAACAUCGGCUACAUGGUGAUGUUCAAGCUCCUCACUCCCGACACCCUCAAGGUCAUCAUCUUCGACGACGAUAGCAUUGAGGUCAUCAACAAGUGCGGGAAGCACAACGAAGCCUUCGCCGCCAAGGAGUAGGGCCGGGGCACCUUCUUUUUAAUUACUAUCGAGUCUGCUUUGAACUGUUUAUGGUUUAUGCGUUGAAAUGUUAUAUCUGUGGUACUGCUUAUAUCUGAAUUAUGCUAGUUGAUGCUCUGUUUAUACUCUGUUGUGCUUAUGAUGUGUGAUGCCAAAGUGUGGUGGUAACCUCACCAACUAGCCAAAUAGAUUACCACACAUCAGGCCUUGCAUAUAAUAAAACACCAUGCCUUGGGUUUGUGGACUAACAUGCAGGCAACCAAACACCAGGCAGUGUGGUUCAGCCCAUGCAGGUAAGAGGGCAUGCAGGCAACCAAACAACAUGCAUAUGGUGCAUUUGAGGCUGCAUUUGCAUAGCCAGGUUGGAUGGAGAAAUUUAUGCAAUGCGGGUACUGUAGCACACGGCAACCAAACACGCCUUAGGAAGCUCACUCUAAUUAGACCAGCUGCAAUACGUUGGAUGUUAGGAUCCUCCUAGCAUGUACACGUACAGAGGCUGCCCCUUGGACCAGCCCAUGGACUUGGCCCUCGGUGCAGCUACUUAAGCAUGGUGUACAGAAGGAGAGGGUAUCCAGUGGAUCACGAACGAACCGACGACGGCUCUUUCCUCCUACCUUCUUCCCCCUGUUGCAAGCUUCCUCUGUUCUUCUCAUCCAUUGUGUAAUUCCUCUGUAAUCACUACUCUAUAUUGCUACUCGUGAGAGAGAUCGAUCUAUACAAGCUAGCUACCAUCACCUCUCUUACAUCUGGUAUCAGAGACCAGCCACCACUCCUUCCCUAUGCGUUUCGCCAAGCUCGUCGGCAUCGGGCAGCCAUGGAUCCAUGGAUGCAGGCGUAUCUCGAGCGGAUCGACACCAUGCUCGAUGCCUACACAGACGCCACCAGGUCCCUCACCGAGAAAGUGGACGCUCUGGUCGUCGUCUGGCGGCCAGACCUGGAGAAGAGGUCCUCCCACACCGCCGUCGUCCACGGUCCACCGGCGCCGACCUCGGCGCUCGAGACCACUACUGAGGCGUCUGAACCCGUCCCUAACAUCUACUACUCCACCACCAAGGCCCAGGAGAUCCCCACGGUCGCCCAUGAUGCAACUCCGAUAUGCAUUCCGAUGGUGCCUGUCACCUGUUCGACGGAUUGCCCGACCCAGAUCGACGCCAUCGACAGCGCCGACGAAGUCCAUGACGCCGCCAGCGUCGCAACAGAGGUUCGCAACACUACAACCGCACUCGGCCCCGAGCUCGCGGUCGACCUCUGCAACACCUGUGGUCACUAUGGCAAGUUCGACGGCCUCAACAUCCCCGUGAAGGCCAGCAUCAGCCCGCCGCCCCACGUCCAGGAUGCAUUCCCAAAUUCCACAAUCAGCAAUUGUCGUGCCGAUGUUGCCGGGACGGACGAGUACGCACUCGUGGAGGCCACUCCAGACGUCGCCAUUGAGCUUGCCAUCCUCCCAGGCGUCUCCUCCUUCAUGAACAAACUAUUCUGGAAGCAUGACAUGGACGUCUCGCCGCCCACAAGGCACAAAGGGCUGCCAAUACGGCCGACACCAUGGCCGUCAUUUUUGGUGCAUCAUAGUGCAAAGGGGAACGAGAUUCGACCCACUCCGUGGCUAUCGUUUUCUUGCUCUCAUGAAGGUAUGACUCUGAAUCAUGAAACUCUGCUGCCUCAUGUUACAUGUGUGAUGAAGAAAUUACUUGCUAGAGGAUGCACUGAUUUCACACUCGGAAAGACUGGUUUACCCAGAUUUCACGUUGAUAAUUCCGCGUAUAGUUCUAAGCAAGUUGGUGAUCUUUUGGUGCACCGACCGCUUGUGAUACUGAAGCAUAGGGGCUGCCUAAAACCUUUGAGCAGCAAGACUGAAGUACCUUGUUGGUGUGAUCACUUCAUCAGCAGAAGUCCACAAAUAUCCCAGGCAAUGCAUUGCCAACUAGUAAAUGAGCUGAAACCUUCUUGGCUGCUGAAUUAUUUAUCUGUUGUCCUGAAUUCUUUCUCAACAUUCUCAAGAUAUUUGCCAAGGGUAGAGCAGGUGCCCAGUAUUUUUCUGAAGGUUGUUUCCAGGAUCCGUAUGGUGCCAAUAGAUAUUCUUAUUCUGAGCAAUCGGUUAAUCCUAUUACCUCUCUCAUGGUUGUCCACUGUUGUGGCCUGAUUCCCGUGGAGGAGCACUUCAAUUGUGUGCAAAAUACCGAGUUGCAGUUUUCCUAUUUACUAGCUGGAAGAACAUAUACUGAUAAAUGGUUAAGUCAAAAAGGUUCCGAGGGAAUUGAGUGCUUGGAUAUCUUGUUGAUCAGUCUACAGUGUAUUGACGACCGCCUAGCAGAAAUUAUGUUCGAUGAGAUUGCGCUGCAGCUUGCUACACAUUGCAAGGAAUUUGGCAUUGCAGGAGAGGUGUUGAACAGCUAUGUUUCUCCUGUUGCUUCAGUGGAGCACCCACCCUGUACUUUUGGGCAGCUUAUCCUAUUUGUGUCAAUGCACUGGAACAAUUCAUGUCGGAAGGGAUUCAAAAGAAGUGGUCAUACUGCAAUCAGCUUACACGUACAAGAGUAAUUCACUAGUGUGUGAAACUGCUAGUUCAGUUAAAGGGUUGACUGGAUUGAAAUCUGAGGAUGUCGGGUCUAACUCAAUAACAUUCUCAAGGAGGGAGGGGUGUCAUCGCUGUCGCAGCCCGCUUCGCGCAAAGCUCCAUCGACCACAAGUACUACAUUGACUUUAACAAUGACUACUUCCUCGACAGUUCCUUCGGUGGGAUCGCAAUCGUCCAUAACUACUACUCCCAUGUUGUUAAAGCCAUCUCUGCCUUUAGCUGCCGCUACGACUUUGAGCCAGUCAAGGACCAUCGAGUGCAAUGGGACCCGGGCGAUUUUCGGUGGCACCGGCUUGGGGUCAAGCCGGAUUUCAAGGAGGGAGGGAUGUUAGGAGCCUCCUAGCCUGUACACGUACAAGGGCUGCCCCUUGGACCAGCCCAUGGACUUGGCCCUCGGUGCAGCUACUUAAGCGUGGUGUACAGAAGGAGAGGGUAUCCAGUGGAUCACGAACGAACCGACGACGGCUCUUUCCUCCUACCUUCUUCCCCCUGUUGCAAGCUUCCUCUGUUCUUCUCCUCCAUUGUGUAAUUCCUCUGUAAUCACUACUCUAUAUUGCUACUCGUGAGAGAGAUCGAUCUAUACAAGCUAGCUACCAUCACCUCUCUUACAUCUGGUAUCAGAGACCAGCCACCACUCCUUCCCUAUGCGUUUCGCCAAGCUCGUCGGCAUCGGGCAGCCAUGGAUCCAUGGAUGCAGGCGUAUCUCGAGCGGAUCGACACCAUGCUCGACGCCUACAUCGACGCCACCAGGUCCCUCACCGAGAAAGUGGAUGCCCUGGUCGUCGCCUGGCGGCCAGACCUGGAGAAGAGGUCCUCCCACACCACCGUCGUCCACGGUCCACCAGCGCCGACCUCGGCGCUCGAGACCACUACUGAGGCAUCCGAACCCGUCCCUAACAUCUACUACUCUACCACCAAGGCGCAGGAGAACCCCACGGUCGCCCAUGAUGCAACUCCGAUAUGCAUUCCGAUGGUGCCUGUCACCUGUUCGACGGAUUGCUCGACCCAGGUCGACGCCAUCGAGAGCGCCGACGAAGUCCAUGACGCCACCACCGUCGCAAUGGAGCUUCACAACACUACAACUGCACUCGGCCCCGAGCUUGCGGUCGACCUCUGCAACACCAUGGCGACCACCAAGGUAGCCACCUGUGGUCACUACGGCAAGUUCGACGGCCUCAACAUCCCCGUGAAGGCCAGCAUCAGCCCGCCGCCCCACGUCCAGGAUGCAUUUCCAAAUUAUUCCACAAUCAGCAACUCCCGCGCCGAUGUUGCCGGGACGGAUGAGUACGCACUCGUGGAGGCCACUGCAGACGUCACCAUUGAGCUUGCCAUCCUCCCAGGCGUCUCCUCCUUCAUGAACAAGCUAUUCCGGAAGCAUGACAUGGACGUCUCGCCGCCCGCAAGGCACAAAGGGCUGCCAAUACGGCCGACACCAUGGCCGUCAUUUCUGGUGCAUCAUACUGCAAAGGGGAAUGAGAUUCGACCCACUCCGUGGCCAUCGUUUUCUUGCUCUCAUGAAGGUAUGACUCUGAAUCAUGAAACUCUGCUGCCUCAUGUUACAUGUGUGAUGAAGAAAUUACUUGCUAGAGGAUGUAGUGAUUUCACACUCGGAAAGACUGGUUUACCCAGAUUUCACGUUGAUAAUUCCGCGUAUAGUUCUAAGCAAGUUGGUGAUCUUUUGGUGCGCCGACCGCUUGUGAGACUUAAGCAUAGGGGCUGCCUAAAACCUUUGAGCAGCAACACUGAAGUACCUUGUUGGUUUGAUUACUUCAUCAGCAGAAGUCCACAAUACCCCAGGCAAUGUAUUGCCAACUAGAAAAGGAGCUGAAACCUUCUUGGCUGCUGAAUUAUUUAUCUGUUGUCCUGAAUUCUUUCUCAACAUUCUCAGGAUAUUUGCCAAGGGUAGAGCAGGUGCCCAAUAUUUUUCUGAAGGUUGUUUGCAGGAUCCGUAUGGUGCCAAUAGAUAUUCUUAUUCUGAGCCAACCGGUUAACCCUAUUACCUCUCUCAUGGUUGUCCACUGAUGUGACCUGAUUCCCGUGGAGGAGCACUUCAAUUGUGUGCAAAAUACCGAGUUGCAGUUUUGCUAUUCACUGGCUGGAAGAACAUAUACUGAUAAACGGUUAAGUCAAAAUGGUUCCGAGGGAAUUGAGUGCUUGGAUAUCUUGUUGAUCAGUCUACAAUGUAUUGACGACCGCCUAGCAGAAAUUAUGUUCGAUGAGAUUGCGCUGCAGGUUGCUAUACAUUGCAAGGAAUUUGGCAUUGCGGGAGAGGUGUUGGGCAGCUAUGUUUUUCCUAUUGCUUCAGUGGAGCACCCACCCUGUACUUUUGGGCAGCUUAUCCUAUUUGUGUCAAUGCACUGGAACAAUUCAUGUCGGAAGGGAUUCAAAAGAAGUGGUCAUACUGCAAUCAGCUUACUCAUUGGCAAUGCAUGGCGACGGUGUUCCAAUCUCCUUGAAAAUUGCAUAAUGAUCCUCCGAGGUCUAUUAUGGUGCUUGUGGUUUGUGAGAGAGUACAAUGAAGAUUGUUGUUUCACUAAGCAGCCAUUACAUGAUGGUAAACAGGCUUUCGACACUAUGUGCAUGUUCUAUUAGUACGGCUCUUGUACUACACCUAUCUUGCGACAAUGGAUGCACAUCUAUUUCAGAGCAUGCAGAGAAUGGGUUCCCUGAGCACAGAAAGUUCGAGCAUUAUUUUUCUUCAGUCAAUGCAACUUCAGCCAUAUGUGCUAGUCUGCUGCGUUAUCUUCUCAGUGCAGUCCUCUUAUGAAUUAUAUGAGCAUUGUGUACUGGAGCGUGCUGUCAUAUUUCUGGGUGUGACAAAAUGCAGGGGGCAAAUCAGAUUAUGAGCAUGUUAGUGGUAUGGAUUUUCUGAGUGAAGAUGAAUUUAAGGGGAAUGGUCGUGUGGAGAUGCUCAGAUUCAGGAGUAAUUCACUAGUGUGUGAAACUGCUAGUUCAGUUAAAGAGUUGACUGGAUUGAAAUCUGAGGAUGUCGGGUCUAACUCAAGAACAUUCUCAAGGAGGGAGGGGUGUCAUCGCUGUCGCAGCCCGCUUCGCGCAAAGCUCCAUCGACCACAAGUACUACAUUGACUUCAACAAUGACUACUUCCUCGACAGUUCCUUCGGUGGGAUCGCAAUCGUCCAUGACUACUACUCCCAUGUUGUUAAAGCCAUCUCUGCCUUCAGCUGCCGCUACGACUUUGAGCCAGUCAAGGACCAUCGAGUGCAAUGGGACCCGGGCGAUUUUCGGUGGCACCGGCUUGGGGUCAAGCCGGAUUUCAAGGAGGGAGGGAUGUUAGGAGCCUCCUAGCCUGUACACGUACAGGGGUUGCCCCUUGGACCAGCCCAUGGACUUGGCCCUCGGUGCAGCUACUUAAGCGUGGUGUACAGAAGGAGAGGGUAUCCAGUGGAUCACGGACGAACCGACGACGACUCUUUCCUCCUACCUUCUUUCCCCUGUUGCAAGCUUCCUUUGUUCUUCUCCUCCAUUGUGUAAUUCCUCUGUAAUCACUACUCUGUAUUGCUACUUGUGAGAGAGAUCGAUCUAUACAAGCUAGCUACCAUCACCUCUCUUACAUCUGGUAUCAGAGACCAGCCACCACUCCUUCCCUACGCGUUUCGCCAAGCUCGUCGGCAUCGGGUAGCCAUGGAUCCAUGGAUGCAGGCGUAUCUCGAGCGGAUCGACACCAUGCUCGACGCCUACACCGACGCCACCAGGUCCCUCAUCGAGAAAGUGGACGCACUGGUCGUCACCUGGCGGCCAGACCUGGAGAAGAGGUCCUCCCACACCGCCGUCGUCCACGGUCCACCAGCGCCGACCUCGGCGCUCGAGACCACUACUGAGGCGUCCGAACCUGUCUCUGGCAUCUACUACUCCACCACCAAGGCCCAGGAGAUCCCCACGGUCGCCCAUGAUGCAACUCCGAUAUGCAUUCCGAUGGUGCCUGUCACCUGUUCGACGGAUUGCUCGACCCAGGUCGACGCCAUCGACAACGCCGACGAAGUCCAUGACGCCGCCACCGUCGCAACGGAGGUACGCAACACUACAACAGCACUCGGCCCCGAGCUCGCGGUCGACCUCUGCAAGACCAUGGCGACCACCAAGGUAGCCACCUGUGGUCACUACGGCAAGCUCGACGGCCUCAACAUCCCCGUGAAGGCCAGCAUCAGCCCGCCGCACCACGUCCAGGAUGCAUUCCCAAAUUAUUCCACAAUCAGCAACUGUCGCGCCGAUGUUGCCGGGACGGAUGAGUACGAACUCGUGGAGGCCACUCCAGGCGUCGCCAUUGAGCUUGCCAUCCUCCCAGGCGUCUCCUCCUUCAUGAACAAGCUAUUCCGGAAGCAUGACAUGGACGUCUCGCCGCCCACAAGGCACAAAGGGCAGCCAAUACGGCCGACACCAUGGCCGUCAUUUCUGGUGCAUCAUAGUGCAAAGGGGAAUGAGAUUCGACCCACUCCGUGGCCAUCGUUUUCUUGCUCUCAUGAAGGUAUGACUCUGAAUCAUGAAACUCUGCUGCCUCAUGUUACAUGUGAGAUGAAGAUUACUUGCUAGAGGAUGCAGUGAUUUCACACUCGGAAAGACUGGUUUACCCAGAUUUCACGUUGAUAAUUCCGCGUAUAGUUCUAAGCAAGUUGGUGAUCUUUUGGUGCGCCGACCGCUUGUGAUACUGAAGCAUAGGGGCUGCCUAAAACCUUUGAGCAGCAACACUGAAGUACCUUGUUGGUUUGAUUACUUCAUCAGCAGAAGUCCACAAAUACCCCAAGCAAUGUGUUGCCAACUAGAAAAGGAGCUGAAACCUUCUUGGCUGCUGAAUUAUUUAUCUGUUGUCCUGAAUUCUUUCUCAACAUUCUCAGGAUAUUUGCCAAGGGUAGAGCAGGUGCCCAGUAUUUUUCUGAAUGUUGUUUGCAGGAUCCGUAUGGUGCCAAUAGAUAUUCUUAUUCCGAGCCAAUCGGUUAAUCCUAUUACCUCUCUCAUGGUUGUCCACUGUUGUGACCUGAUUCCCGUGGAGGAGCACUUCAAUUAUGUGCAAAAUACCGAGUUGCAGUUUUGCUACCCACCCUGUACUUUUGGGCAACCUAUCCUAUUUGUGUCAAUGCACUGGAACAAUUCAUGUCGGAAGGGAUUCAAAAGAAGUGGUCAUACUGCAAUCAGCUUACACAUUGGCAAUGCAUGGCGACGGUGUUCCAAUCUCCUUGAAAAUUGCAUAAGGAUCCUCCGAGGUCAAUUAUGGUGCUUGUGGUCUGUGAGACAGUGCAAUGAAGAUUGUUGUUUCACUAAGCAGCCAUUACAUGAAAGUAAACAGGCUUUCGACACUAUGUGCAUGUUCUAUUAGUACGGCUCUUGUACUACAGUAUUCCUAUCUUGCAACAAUGGAUGCACAUCUAUUUCAGAGCAUGCAGAGAAUGGGUUCCCUGAGCACAGAAAGUUCGAGCAUUAUUUUUCUUCAGUCAAUGCAACUUCAGCCAUAUGCGCUAGUCUGCUGCGUUAUCUUCUCAGUGCAGUCCUUUUAUGAAUUACUAGUAAUUUGCCCGUGUGUUGCUAUGGAAUAAAAUAGAUGUAUAUGAAUAUAUUACAAAAAAAUCAUUGCAUUUUGUGGAAUCCCUACCACAUACUCGUUGGGUUCUGUUUCUCUUAAUUUGUUUAUCUCCUCUUCCAUUCCCUCACAUUUGUUCUCUCCGGUCACCAACUCUUCCUCUAGCCCCUCCAUCACUUCCUCCAACUUUGAUGAAUCUCAUCCAUGGAUGUUUAGAGCUGAAGAAUGGUGACACAUUAAGUGACAACGUGGGUUUCACUUUUUAGAUGCCACUUUCUUUGAACCCCUAAACACAAACACAUAUUAUUUCUAGCCUCGGUUUCUUUUCCUCCCUAGCAUUUUCCACCUUAGCCUUUUAGACACCUAAUUUGUUUUGUCCCCCUUUACCACGGUGACAAUUUGAAUUCAUAUGGUUAAAAACAUAAAAAUCACAUAUGCUCUUAAAUGCAAUGGCAAAAAGUAAUCUGGUGAGCUCUCUCUAAAUCAAAAUGUCCAAGACAAAACUGGACACCGUGUACAUGUACUGUAGAUCAGUAGUGUAGUUACUUAGAACUUGGACAAUAUUCUUGAUAAUUUUUGCAACAAGAAGUUGAGGGCCACUAUGGACUAAUUCUGUAUAGUAUAUAAUGUUACAGAUAUGACUGUGAUGUUGUGAAAAUAAAGUGAAUAGUUUCAAUAGUCAACAUGCUGUAAAGUAUCCUCUUAAGUUGAGGCCCUACCGCUGCUAUGAGGCAAAUUAGUAAAUUUACACGCUUGAUUGCAAAUGGAACAACGGCACAUACUUUGUGGUGCUUAAAUAAGCUAGGGUGAUGUAGUGUCAAUUAAAGAGUGGAAGGUGAUUAUUUUCUAACAAUAUAGGAUGAAAGCACAAGACAUUUUGAGAUCCUUGGAUUCACACGGAACAUAACAAAAGUAACACACAGAUCAAUCAAAUACUAUAUCUUUAAACAAAACAAAACCAGUAAUUAGUUUUCGACCAUACAUUGUACAUUACAGCGACAAACAUUAGUUCCAAAAUGACACCCAAUUCAACAGAUAUGUAGCAGCUUAAUGAGCCAUGUUACAAUAAUCAAGAACCAAAAUAGACACUUCUUUCCAUCUAUGCAUUCUUGCUGGCAAGAGUCACAGCUCAAGUCUUCUUUCUCCUAAGUGCAUUUCUUGCUUCUUUGUCUUAGAUUGGAUCUUUCAGUACUACAGAGGAACAAUGCAAGCACAAAACAUUCGAGCAAGAAUAUCUGAAAGUGCGUCAUCUACCGUCCUUGGUUCAAAAGGUCUAGACAAAAGGCUCCAACAUCAUGCCAUACUACUAAAGCUUGCUCCUGAUCCAUGAGUGUUUUACUAAGAUCGUUGUCGAUCCUGCAAAAGUAUUUAUACUUAAAUUUGGCAUAAAUGUGUUCCUUGCAUUACCUCUGAUCCAUCUGACGCCAGCUGCAAUAGAGCAGUGCUAUCCAGACGACAUUAUUUGGACGAUUUGCAGCCGACGAUUGAAUCCAGCCGUGCAAUCUUGUUCACGGCAGAGCAACGGCCGGUGGAUUCUUUAAUCGUGCACAGAUCGUCCAAAAGUUUAUCGUGUGUGAAGCAGUUUCGGCUGCAAUAUUUGGACCAAAGUACCCCUUGCUAAAAACAGUAGUAUGCAGAUCGUGCUCUACUUGAAGACAAAACGAUGAUUAAUAUAUAUAAAUGAUGCUAUGGAUACAUGAUACAAUUAGAUUAUCUAUAACGAAUAAACCAGCACCAUCCUUACCAACUUCAUGCUUUACUCUCAGCAUGGUAACUACAACGAUGGUACACGCCUCAACACUUAUCGGCCAAGUGGUUUGAUUAUUGUCACUAACUAAUUUCUGAACUUAUCUGUAUACUAACUGUUUGAAGUAAGCACUAAAAAGUACAUGCUGCUCAUGUUCAGGGAGAUGACGUACUUUAGAGAACCCAUACAUAACAGACAAAGUUUCAAAACGUACAAGAAGUCCAAACAUCAUGGAUAAAAUUAGAAUCCAAGAUUCUUGUCUCGUGCACACAUUCAUCUACAACCACGAGCUGCAGUUCACUUAAUUAUGAAGUAUGAACUAACUCAUCAAGGACUCAGUUAAGCAUCAGCAGGAGUAAGACAGAGGAGGUGGAAAUGCGCUCGGAUGGAAGCAAAUCAGAGCAGAGCACGACGUACUGUCCACAUGUUUGUCGACAUGGUGGCAUUGCGCUCCUGAGGAUCCGGUGCAGCUCUGGAGCGAGAGCGCCGACAUGGGGUGUGACCUCCAUGCGGUCUGGUGAUGGCAGGUGGGCAGUGGGCAUGCCCGCAGGGUGUGCGGCCUCCAGACAGUCGCAAGUACGGCGAACGAGCACGCUUGAAGAGGUUGCGGCUUCCGCGAUUCAUUGACGGUGAGCUAGUAGUACUGGCAGCGGUAGUGGCCACCACGCGGCACGGGUGACAGCGAGCGAGCAGGGCAUCAGACACAGAGCGUGAUGGACAGAAAGAAAGACACAGGAAGGGAGAGGGAUGAAGAAGCUGGGAGAAUUGGGGCGGUGUACAUGACGAUCUGAAUUUUGAACUAAGAUUGGGAACACCCAUGUCAGGGGAAGGGGUAUUGGGGGAGGUUGGCGGCAUGGGGGAAGCUGGCGGCAGCAAGACACAUUAGAGGGAGGCCGUGAGCAGGGGAGGUAAGAAGGCUUGGUUGCCUGGCUGCCGGUACGUGGAGCUCGGCGAGGAGGAAGGAGAGGUCGUGUGCGGCGGGGCUCCUACAUCAGAGUCUCGUGUGAGGAAGCAGGAGAGUCCUCGCGGGACUCAAGGGGCGGAUGGCGCCGGCGGCGUAGUUGCCGAUCGUCGGAGGAGAAGGGGUAGGGUUGGAGGAGAAGGUGGUGGGCGGCGGGUCUGCUGCAUCGGAGGAGAAGGCAUGAGAGGAGUCGCAGACUCGGCGGAAGGACGGCACCAGCGGCGUACUUGCCGAUGUCGGCGUCGUAGGAGACGAGGUAGGGGGAGGAGGAGACGACGGGGAGGUGCGUGUGGCGGUGGCCGGUGAGGUUCCUAUGGCAAAGAGGAGGGACGGAGCGCCNNNNNNNNNNNNNNNNNNNNNNNNNNNNNNNNNNNNNNNNNNNNNNNNNNNNNNNNNNNNNNNNNNNNNNNNNNNNNNNNNNNNNNNNNNNNNNNNNNNNNNNNNNNNNNNNNNNNNNNNNNNNNNNNNNNNNNNNNNNNNNNNNNNNNNNNNNNNNNNNNNNNNNNNNNNNNNNNNNNNNNNNNNNNNNNNNNNNNNNNNNNNNNNNNNNNNNNNNNNNNNNNNNNNNNNNNNNNNNNNNNNNNNNNNNNNNNNNNCAAAUGUGAAGUGGGGUUGGCUCCUAUGCGUUGGAUGCAGAUCAAACGGCCCAAAAAGAUAGAUGGCAGGCACACCAUCACCAUCAACUCAGAUUUUUAUAGGAGUAGAGAUAGAGAUAUGAGCAUCGUGUACUGGAGCGUGCUGUCAUAUUUUUGGGUGUGACAAAAUGCAGGGGGCAAAUCAGAUUAUGAGCAUGUUAGUAGUAUGGAUUUUCUGAGUGAAGAUGAAUUUAAGGGGAAUGAUCGUGUGGAGAUGCUCAGAUUCAGGAGUAAUUCACUAGUGUGUGAAACUGCUAGUUCAGUUAAAGGGUUGACUGGAUUGAAAUCCGAGGAUGUCGGGUCUAACUCAAGAACAUUCUCAAGGAGGGAGGGGUGUCAUCGUUGUCGCAACCCACAUCGCGCAAAGCUCCAUCGACCACACAACGACUACUUCCUCGACAGUUCCUUCGAUGGGAUCGCAAUCGUCCAUGACUACUACUCCCAUGUUGUUAAAGCCAUCUCUGCCUUCAACUGCCGCUAUGACUUUGAGCCAGUCAAGGACCAUCGAGUGCAAUGGGACCCGGGCGGUUUUCGGUGGCGCCGGCUUGGGGUCAAGCCGGAUUUCAAGGAGGGAGGGAUGUUAGGAGCCUCUACACAUACAGGGGCUGCCCCUUGGACCAGCCCAUGGACUGCCCUCGAUGCAGCUACUUAAGCAUGGUGUACAGAAGGAGAGAGUAUCCAGUGGAUCACGAACGAACCGACGACGGCUCUUUCCUCCUACCUUCUUCCCCCUGUUGCAAGCUUCCUCUGUAAUCACUACUACCUCCGUUCGGGUUUAUUAAUCCCCAUUGUAUUUCGUGCCAAAUUUUGACCAUAGAUCAAACUAACAAAAUGUUCACGCAUGUCACCAAACAUUAUAUUUUUGAAAACUAUGUUCAAAUACGAAUCCAAUGAGAUAAUUUUUCUUGACAUGCAUUAACAUUUUGUUAGUUAAAUCUUUAGUCAAAAUUUGGCACAAACUACAAAGGGGACCUAUAAACCAGGAGGGAGGUAGUACUCUAUUGCUACUCGUGAGAGAGAUCAAUCUAUACAAGCUAGCUACCAUCACCUCUCUUACAUUGGGUUUCAAUAAUCUGCUGCACAAAAUCUGGUUUUUGAAAGCUUUAUCCUGAGGGACCCUUAAAGCCAUUGCAGCAACACAAUUCUGGCGCAUGCUGCACAAAAUCUGGUUUUGGAAGCUGAGCCCAAGGGACACUUCACACCAUUACGUCCUAACUCGAACACAGUUCUGGCUCUCAACAAGGAUCGCAGCAUCAAACAUCUCAACCAACGAGAACCUCAAACAAGGCAAAAGCAGAAAUCCAAGCCACGGACGAGGCGAAAAGCCAGACAGAAAGGGAGUUGAGUACUGGACUGAACGAUUUAUAUAUUCUUCACAAACCACAACCAAAAAAGAGUACUUGAUUAGCAACUCCAUUACAGAUACUAGAGGUUGAUGCGGAAAACAGAAGGUAACUCAUGUCCAACUAACAUGAACCAGGCGUCGUCUGGCGACACCAUCCACAUUUAUUCUUCGCAUAGACAAAGCAGGGACACCUCUGACCAGGCGCCACAAACGAAAGCAGAACGCUCUACUGAGUCUUGGCCAUGUGGCGGAUCAGGUCGACAACGCGGUUGCUGCAGAGGAAUAAGAUUCAAGUGUCACAGGCUGAAGCUUAAGCGAUGAAACAGCAUGUUGUAGAAAUAAAUGCAUUAUGGCAACUCACCUGUAACCCCACUCGUUGUCAUACCACGAGACAAGCUUGACGAAGUGGUCGUUCAGAGCAAUUCCAGCCUUGGCAU